rnacentral:lncRNA from 1 species
UUCCAAUAAAGUUUAUUUUUAUUUCUUCUCAAAUACUCUAUUCGGUAAUGAUCUAUUUGGAGUGUUCAUCACACGCUUCCAACAACACCAAGUCAAAUCUCCAAGAAAAUAUGAAAAAAAAAAAUCUCAAGUUGCAAAAUUGAUGCCAAUGCUGAAGUGUUAGGUCAAUUCUGGCCCAAUGCACAAACUCAAAAAGACAAAAAAUUGCAUAGUGUAGCCCAGCACACAACAUCACAAAGUUGGGUUUGGUGCAACGACGCCUUGCGUUGUAACAAAGUGCGGCAUGAACAUUUAUAUAUAUAUGAAUAUUUCAUGAACAUAUUUUCCAAAAAGCUGGUUUUUCUUACCGCAUUUGAUUGCAUAUUGUUCAAGAAGAAUAGAUACAUUUUCCAUAACAAAUAAAUUCCCAAUACGGUUCAAAAAACAUUAAAUAUAAAAGGAAAAAGAAAAGCAAUUAACUAAAGAAACAUUAAAUUAUUACCAGAAUUCUAUCACGAUAUUUCUCCCUAAUCCUUGUAGCCUCUACAAACAUGGAAAACUCCUCAGUUCUAAACUUACAAAAAUAUGAACAUAUGAACAUUGCAAUCAAAACCCAAGUAAUAAGGAUUGUGGAGAGGAAAUUAAAAAAUAUAAUAAGGAUUGUGGAUAGGGAAAAAACAAACCUAGGAGAGAGUUAAGAUAAAUUAAUCGUGGCUGGUGGAGGGAGAGGCGCACGGCGGUGUUGGGGCACAUGAUGACGAGAGAGAGAAAGACGGAUGGCAGGCAGAGAUGGAGAGGGAGCCUUAGAAGUUCGAAGAUGUGGGAGAUGAAGUUUCAGAUAUGUGUUGUGGGUUUUUUAAAAGGCUAUCUCCCGACAUCGUAUGAAAAACAUCAUGAGUUAAUAGAGAUCUCCGGAUGCGCUAUUUAAAUUGCCUGCAAGUUUGGAGAGAACUCUCGACACAUUAUUUAAUGCUUAGAGAGUUGGUAGGAAACUCCAAACCCAAUAAAAACGGUCUCAGGAGAUAUCAAAAUUUACCGUUUUCUGUAACUAACGUCCAAUGCCAAUUUAUGACAUCGGGAGCUAACCAUGAAUUUUGACGUUCUUUACAGCCCAUGGGAUAUAUCCUUUCGUACGCCCAACGAUGGUUUUGUGUGUCGAGAAUACAUUUUUUUUUUUAUAUGGCCAUCUUGAUGUUUAGAAUUUGAUUGGGAGUUUUUGGAGGAGAUUGAGAAUCUGUCCAGCAAGAUCAGGUUUGUUUAUGACAAGAUUUUGGUAAGUUCUUGGUGAGUUCCUUUGUGAAACCUUGGUUACCCAUUGUGCGUAUAUGGGUCUAACCUUUUAGUUUUUUGUUAGUUCUUUAAGGUUGAAAUUUAAAGUUGUUCUUAAUUCCUGUAAUCUGGUUGAGAGCUUGGAGCCAAAGCUUGGAAGCUUCUGUUUGCCUUGGAUAAAUUAUUUGAAGAUUAAGUAAUUGCAUAAAUUAGUGGAUGAGCUUGGAGCCAAAGGUCGUUGUUUCCGCUCUUCUUUACUUUUCCAUGAUUUUAGAUUUGUUUUGAACUCUUUGUUGAAUAGAAAAUUUCAUGAUUUAUAUAUACACAUUUAUUUGCUUUUAUGAUUUUAAAUAGGGAACUCUAAGUUAGAAGUAUCUGUUUAUUCACUAAUUAUAUUCAUUUAUGUUAUUUUAAACAUUAUUCACCUCAGGUUUUAUUUCCUAUUUUCUCUAAAUAAAAUGUUAGUGUUUUGGUUUUAAUUUGGUUGUUUAUGAAGUAAUGAUUUUAGCUUAAGUUUGAAAAGUCGGAUCUUACUAGAACCAUCAGAGUUUGGUUUCACUACCUUUAUUUAAUAUGUUUAUUAUGACAUUUAUUCCGUGGGAAGUUAUUAUGAUUUCUCUUCUUUAUAGGGUUAGAUGGAAUCUUGGAAGAAGAUUAUUAUAUUGUAUUAAGUUGGAUGAUUGAUUGACCAUUUGUAGAGAAGAUUGAUGAAUGUUGGUGAAUAAAGUACUGUAUCAAUAUACAUUUUGACGAAGUCGAUACAAUAUAUGAAUCAUAAGAGAAAAUCAGCUAUCAAGUUGCUUGAAGUUAUGAUUUCACAUAAGCAUUGAUUAAGGAGGAGUUCCAUCUAAUAUUGUUAUGAUGUAUUGUAUGCUUAGCAUAUUACUAAUAGUUGAGUCAGUUUAUAGGCAGCGCUAGAUGCAUUCAUAAAAUGUUGUUCUCUGAGUCAUAGUAUUGUAAUAAUCAAUAUUUUCAUGAGCAAUACAUAUUUUUUUACUGAUGUAGAUGCAUAAUCAUCAAAUUGGGUUAUCAGUUUUUUAUGUUCUCCUAUAGCUGUGUCAUCAUUUAAUUAACUCAAAAUACAUCUUUUGAUAUACUUUUAAUUGAGUGUAUAUUAUAAAGAACAAAUAUAAAAGACCAUUAACUCUAAUUAAACACAUAUUUUUAAAACUAAAUAGUCAGUAAAUUUUUAUAACUAAAUAGUAAAUUUAAAAGGACUCACAGAACAUCACACUACAAAUUAAAGUUAUAAUGAACAAGAAAAAAAAAAAGGACAGAAAAUGGCAGCUCCUUUGACCUCUCUUUUACAUGUUUGAUUCCUUUUGUUUUCUAUGUAACAUAUAUCAUAUCCUUUAAAGACAGACCAAACACCAAAAGAGAGAUCAAGGCAGUGUUUCUGUUUUUGUUCUUUUCUUUUUAUCUGUUCUUUUCUUUCUUUUUGGUCUCUUGUUUAUGCAAGGGAAAGCGAUGCCACAAUGUGAAAGAAUUGAAGCUUUUCAAGAAGGUCUUUAGCAUGGUUUGUGGCUCUACGUUCAACUCGAUAAAAGAGCUCUUCGCUUAGCCGAUCACCGAUAUGGGCAUCGACAAGGACACCAGAGACACUCCGGCAACUGUUGGCCAAAGCUCGACCAACCUCUGCUGCAUCGUCGGGCUGGUUCACUACUAAUGGACUCCCUCCUUUGAAAACUUCAAGUUUGUUUAUGGAAAAUGAACCAUCAGCUUCUACUACCUCCUUGAAGUCUUGUAAGCUCGGUGCAUACACUGGAAUGUUGAAGCUAUCACGUUUCUCAUUGCUUAUCAAUCCCUACAUAUUACCAUUAACACAAACUCAUUUAACAAUUACAUACGUGUCAUUUACUUUCUAAAUCAUAAAUAUUUUUAAACGUUGAUGUAUUAAUCAAAAUAAUACUUAAACCAUAUGGAUAAUUUGUGUUUAUUAUCAGUAUGAUAUAAUGAAAAAUGAUCUCAUUCACUAAUGUUUGGGUGAAAAAGAACAAAGAAGAUAAUAGAAAAUGCAUGCAAUUCCAUGAACAAUAAUACAAUAAUGUGGGAGGGGAUAUCCACUAAUGACUUGCCAACACAAUGAUUUUAGUUGCGACAAGUGGACGGGUGGAUGGAGUUGUCAAAGGAAGCCAUCAAACGGUCAGAAAUGAUUGAGGGUCGAAUGAUGGCCAAUAGAAAAUCAUGAUAAAAAAAAACAAAAGAAAAGAAAAAGGGGAGUUUAGUGAGAGACAGGAAACACCCAAUUAUUAUUAUUAGUAUAAAAUUUUGAUGUGUGCCUUUGAGAAAGCUUUAAGUUAUGCUUUUUGGUCUGCUAAAGAACAUAUAUGAACAGAUGGUGGGAGCAUUUUUCACAUUCCAUUUUUACGUAAGAUACUUCCCAAUCAAACAAAUUUAAUCAACGGUGGUGAUUAUUAUGUCUAUGCUUUUUAUUUCUUACACCAAAAAAAAAAAAAAAAAUCCCUUUUUUUAAAAUACUAAAUUAAGCUUAUAAAUAUGUUAUCUAGGUUCAUAAGUUUGAAUGUUAUGUUAUGUGUUCUUACUCAUGUUUUAAAACAUCAAACAACACCUUGAAAAGUAAAUUUGAGGAAGCUUUUUCCAUACUUUGAUGCAUGCUUUUUUUUAAUAUAAAAUUUAGUUUAUAUCAAAUAUGAUUUGGACACAUGUACCAAUUGAAUUUAUAUACUUUAUACCUAGAAGUUUGAUCCUACAACUUUUUAAUGUGAUCCUCAUAAUUUGGAUGUGUUGGCUUUAUAGUUUUAACUCAAUUCCUACAACAAUUUGAUCUAAACUAAUUAGAAACCAAAUUGAUGCAAAACUCCAAAAAAAGAAAAGUAUUAAAUUAUAAAUAUAUUUGAAAAUGGUACCUCUUGGACAAGAUCAUCCCAAGCAUCCUGAAAGUGGGUCCCAAAGAGGAGGCCGGCUCCGCCUUGGUCGGUGGGGUCGAGUGAGGUCCGGCCCAAGCAGACAAGGAACAUGGACCCACCUCUCUUCAGUUCCUGAGCCCUGGCCCACAGAAACCCUGCCAAGUCCGUCUGAAAUUGCUUCCGGUAAGCCUCCGCCGCCGCCUCGUUUGCCCCGUGGAUGAACACUCUCCCUCUGUUGUACGCCAUCGAUCUUCCAUCCACCACCGUCUCCGGCACCUACAUCUCAAUCAUAAAUUAUCUCUUGUAUUUCUUCCAUUUUCAAGUUUUUUUUUAUUUAUUUGGUUGAUCAGGUCAAAAAAGCACUUCCAGACAUUAUUAUAUAGUGAACUAGGUACAUAAUUCAAAUGAAAUCAAAAGAAAAAUUAAUGUCCAUAAUAAAAUUAGAUUGACAUUUAUACAGAAUUUUGCUAUAUAUAUAUAUAUGCAUGAAUAUACUAAAUAACAGUAACAUUAUAAAAUUCAAUAUUCUUAAAACUUGAACAUAAAAAAAUGAUAUAAACAAGAAAGAAAAAAGUUGAAGUUAAUUGAUUGAAUUGGUCGGUAUAUUCAAUGCAAAAAAAAGUUUCAGAUGGUUAAUUAAACAUAUGAACUUUUCUUCUCUUUCUCAAAAUUCCAAAAUAUUCAAUAAUUAAAAAACAAAAAAAACUUUCUUUAAUUCUCCUCGGGGAUAUUAAAAUUAAACCCCACCUAAAACACAAACAAAAAGUCAAAAUUUACGAUUUUUUUAAAAUAUCAAUAGCCAUGCAUAUAUAUUAUAUAACCAAAACAAUAAUAAUAAAAAAUAAAUAGAUUAUACAAAGUAUCAAUCAAGUUUUCAUUUGUCAUUAAACUUUAAAAUAAAUUAAAUGUGUCAUAUAUAAAUGGCAUGUUACCAAUAGCAUUAAAAAAUUAAUUAGGCGAAUGAUUUUAUAAGUGAAAAUUUGAUAUAUAUAAUUUUAAAAGUCUGGAAAAUCUUUGUUAUCUCGCAAAUUUUCAACCUUCAUUUCAAUCAAAGAAAGAAAGAAAAAAAAAACUCCCAAAAGAUAUUUUGUUGAAGUAAAGGGCUCAAAAUCAAAGAGUUCCUAGACUUUUAAAAUUUAGAAAGCAAAAGAAUAUAUACAUAAUGAGAGAAAAACCUGAGAGAGCCAAUGCAAGGAAAAGGCGGAGUGGAAAAGGUCGAUGGACCUGGCCGGAAAUAGACGACGGUAGAAGGAGCCAGGAACGCCAGCAGCAAAGUAGGAGCGGUGGUUGUCGGCGGCGAGACAUUCCUCCAUGCUGCCGCCGUAAGUGGCCAACGGUGGGAGGAGUUGGAAGAGGGUAUUGAAGUCAUUUCCAGGGAGAUCGGAGAAAAAGGCGGUGAACUCCGGCGGGUCGACGGCCAAAGCUUCGAAGCGCUUUAUAAUGUGUUUUAUGAUGACAUCGAUGAUGUAAAUGGUGUUGCUGCCGCAGCUGCAGCCGAGAUCCACCACCACGAACGGCUCUUCCGGCGAGUUUAAAUGAACUCCGUCCAAUGUUUCUUUUAGAAGAUGAAGCAUCGAUCUGGCAUGUUGAGCCUACAUUUUAUUUUUCAACUUUUAGUUACAUCCAUUGAAAUUUAGACCUAUAAUUAUUGUGUCGGUUUUCUUGUGUCGUGAUUUGACCGACGUUAAUUAAGGUUAAUUAGAUAAUUGAGUGAGUUUCACCUCAAUUAUUCAUAUAAGAAAAAUUGAGAAAAAAGAUUUCAUAGACCUUUUGAUUUGGUUAUAUAUGUUUAGAUAAAAACAAACAUAGUGCCAAGAUAACUUAAUUCCAACAAAGUCAUAUAGUUAAGAAUAAAAAUUACUGAGCAAGGAUAUAUACCUGAGCUUGAGAGUUGUUAGCAUAGCUUGUUUCCCCUUUACCUCCUUUCAUGCUAAGCAUUCGUUCGAGUUUCAUGUUCGAAACGACGACGUUGUCGCCCUUAGGAGUCAUAGAAAGGGUUUGAAGGUUUUAUCUCAAAGCUUGGGAGAAGGAGAGAGGAGAGUGUUUUGUGAGAAAAGGUUUUGUGAAGAGAAGACACUGAAGUUAUGGAUGAAAAGUGGUUGGGUUAAGAGAGUUGGAUAUUUAUAAAGAACAAAAGGGCUAAAAAUCAUAAUAUUCAAUUUUUUAUUUUUUUCUCUUUUGGUACACAUUAGUUUAAUUUAAUUUGAUUGCAUUAUUAGUGGAUAAGGAAAAAUGAUAAUAAUAAAGGAAAGGUAAAAGAUUUAUGGGGCAGAAAUAGAAAUGAAUCUAAAUAUUGGGGGUCACAUGCAUAAGAGAAGAAAGUCCUAGAUUUCCGCCGGAUUUUGAUAAAUAUUGUAAAUCAAUGCUUAAUUAAUAUUAUUAACCCUAGUUUUGGCUGCUAAUGCAAACUAUAAAAACAGAACCUAAUCAUCAACUUAACUGUUUCUCUAACAAUAUUAUUUAUAUCUACCGUUGCUAAAACUUAAUUAUUUGUUAAUCAAAUUCAAUAUAAUCCCUAAUCGUUACUAGGGAGAGCUAAUAGCAUCUAUAUAUAUUAAAUUAAAACUUUGAAGAAAAAUUAUAUGGUUUAGGUUAAUAGUUAAAAUAAGAGUCUAUAUGACGACUUUUCAUAUCACGAGUUUCGAGUAAUUGAAAAUAUGUCAUUUUGAAUUAUAAACAGUUUUGAGCAGUAUAUCCUUGAUAAAAACAAAUCUUUGAAUUGUAAAUUAUUUGGGGUGUACUAACGUUUUUUUAUUUUUUAAUAUAAUUAGAUGUAUGGAUCCAAAAUUUAAAACCUCCUUUGCUUCAAUUUAUAUGUGAACUGAUGUUUUUUUUUUUUUUCUUUUUUUGAUAAUGUGAUUUUAAAAAAAAUGUCAAAAAUAGGAUAGGAUAUAUGGAAACUAAACAAAAAAAAUACGUUAAUAGUGGAUUUCUUUAUAUAGUAUAUCUCAACUACAAAUUUCAAUCCAAAAAUAUAUCUUUCCUUAUUAAUAAAACUACAAAUUUCAAUCCAAAAAUAUAUCUUUCCUUAUUAAUAAGAAAAUAAUCAAAAUUAAUAGAAAAUAUGAAUUUAAUAAAAAAAUUAAAAAUGAGAGAUUUGAAAUAAAAUAAGAUAUUUUUAGGAUUACAAUUUAGAAGUUGGAAUAUUAUAUAUAUAUAUAUAUAUAUAUAUAUAUAUUAUUAGGAAGGAAAGUGGUGGAACUAUUUUUGACAUUAUCUUUUAAAAUUACAUUAUUAAAGAAAAUAGUGAAUUGAGAUAUAUUGAAUUUGAUGGUUGGUCUCGUAUUCAAAAGUGAUUAGCUAAAUCAAAAUUAUGUUUUUUUUUACUAGCUUAUUUUCGGUAAAUAGUUUAAAGUCAUCUUUUUAUAAGCUCUUUUCUAAAAUUUCUUCAAAAAUUAGUUUUUAAAUUAAUUCAAAUAUUUUAAAGUACUUCUUAGCAAUUAUUUUUCUAGAAAAGUUUCUUUUAUCGUCUAAUUUUUAUUUAAUAAGCUUUAUUAAAACCCAACGUUAAAUUAUUAAUUUAUUUUCUAAACAAAUGAUAUCAAACCCAUUAUUGAUUGCUCAAUGUAGAAGGAGAUAAUUGUUUGGUCAAAAUAUAACUAGUAGUCACUUUGAGCUUGGGCUUUAUGGCAUUUUUCUUUUCCUAGCAUUUCCUAAUUACAAUGAUUUUAGUUUUUAUGCUUCUAGGAAGUAACUAUACGGAAUAGAGAAAACAACACAAUUGAUUUAGAUAUAUGUUAACAAUAAUGAAAUAUGUAGUUCAAAUUCCUUAACUACAUACGCUAACAUUUUUGUUGAUAUUUCAAACAAUUUUAAGUUUAAUUUAACAUCAACAUGAUAAGUAAAUUGAUAUGUUCAUUCUGUUGUAAAAAAAUCAUCCAUUAAAUCUUCAAGUUAAAUUUUUUAUUACGACUUUUCAUUGAGAGAAGGGUUGUAUGUAAUUAGAGAAAUGAGCAAGUGGUCACUAAUCAUCCUAUAUUGACCCUUGAUCAUCAUUAAUUUAAGACAAUGAAAAAGUUGAAAGAUAAACUUUGGAUAAAAUAUGUGUUCUAAGUUAAGUAAAAUCAAUAAAAAAAAAUUAAUAAAGUUAUUUUAAAAAAUAAUGUUAAAAAUAGAGUAGGAGGAAAAUCAAUUUUCAAAAUUUCUUAUUAAAUUCGCAUUUUUUAUUUUAAUUGGAUUAUUUUCUUAUUAACCAUUUUUUUCUUUAUAUAUUAUAUGGAAUAUUCUAAUAUUCAAAUUCAAUCCUAAAAAAGGUUUCAUUAUUGAAUUGAAAUGAAAUCCCAUUUUAGUUUGAUUAUUUCCUUAUUAACAUUUAGGUUCCAAUUUUAAUACAAUCCUAAAGAAGGUUUCAUUAUUAAAUUGAAAUGACAUCCCAUUGGUUUGAUUAUUUCUUUAUUAACAUUUAGUUUGUUCAAUCUUCAAAUUUUCAUAAAAAUAUUUGUUUAAAAUUUUAGUUACAACAUAUUUUAUUAUAUAUUUUUUAAUAUAUAUAUAUAGAAAAAUAAUAUCACACCUUUUUAGCAUAGUUGUUUGUUAAUAUAUAUCUUCUUAAAAAAAAAGUGGAAAUUGGAAGAAAAAUAAUGUAUAACUUUGACAUGUAGGAUGUUAAAGAAAUAAUCCAAUUAAAUUAUGAAAGGUAAAUUUGAUAAGAAAAAUUAAAGAUAGAAAUAUUUAAUAUAUAUAUAUAAAGAAAAAAAGAAAUAGAAUAAAGAAGUUUGUAAUAAGAAAAUAAUCAUUAAAAUUGAAAAUAUGAUUUUAAUUUAGUAAGAAAAUAUAUUUUUAGGAUUGAGAAAUUUAAUAUAUAUGUAUAAAGAAAAGAAAAAAAAUUAUAAAGAAGAUAACUCAUUGAAGUCGUAGACCCUAUCACAACUUGGGUAGAAAACUCAUCAAAGUCAUGACUUCAUUAUCUUAAUUUUGUCAAUACUUUACCUCCAACUAAAUUUUUAAAAUAACAUUAUUACUAAUGAAAAUCUAAAAUGAAAAUAUAUUUUUUUACAAAAAGAAAAACAAAAUUAUUACAUGUUUUUUAGAAUUACACAAAAAAAAUAAUUUCCAAUAAUUAAUUAUAUUAUAUUUUUCACAAGUAUAGAGCCAAAAUUUUAAUACAAAGGAUAGAAAGACUAAAACCAUAUACACUCAUAUUAUGUUAAAAUUUUAGUGUAAUUAUGCAAAGAGACUUUAAUUAUAUUCAUGGCUUUAAAAAGAGAGUGAGAUAAUUAAUUACCACUUUAAAGUAAUUUUAAAAGUUACCAAUUAUACAAGGGGAUAUGAUGGUGUGCGUAAUAUGGAAUUAAUUAUAUAUAAUCCAACUUUGAUGGAUAGAUUAGGUUAACUUUAAGAUAAGCAUAAAAUAUAAAUAUAUAUGAAUUAUGUAUCAUGAUCAGUAAUGAAGUUGAUAAUAAUUAAUGAAAAUGAAAUAAUAUGUAAUUUGGAGGGAUAGUUGCUCACUGAUUAAUAUAUGUCUAAUUAAUUAAACCCACAUAUUAUAUACUCAAGAACAGUCAUUAAUUACAAAGCACCUUCACCACUUUUGAUUAGUUUUACACAAAUCAUUAUGUUAUUUUUGGGGUUAUGACUAAUUGAGAGGGUGUGGUAAUUAUGUAUUUUAAAGAGUGGAUUAACAAAUUAAAGUGUUCUAGCCUGAUAAUCAACAGCAAUUCUAUAAUAAUAAGGUGUAGAAAUGAUUGAAAGUUUUUGGGUAAAAUUACCUCAUAUCAAUUCAUUUAUCUAAAUAUUAUAAUGUAAUUAACCCAACAAACAGAUAAAAGAUUUGUUUUAUUUGAGACAUAUUAUUGAAUGAAAAUGAUCUAAAGAUGAAUGGAAUUUUGUUUAUGAAAGGAUAGAAUGGGAAGGUAUGUGUAGCCAUGCAGGGAGAUUUAGGAACAAUAAUGGAUGAAACCCUAAAAUAUCUUCAAUAAUUUCCAUUUAACAAUGAAGCUACAAGUGGAGGGAAAGGAAGAUUAUAAGAAAAUAAAACUAUGGAUGAAAACUUAAUUAAACAUUUACCAAAUUAAGCUUUCAUUACUGGUAAUUUUUCAAGGGUUGAGUAAUUAUUAUUUGAACUUUUAAUAUAUCAUCCUAUUGUACUAUAUACUAAAACAAAUGGUGAUUUUUAUUGAUUAACUCAUUACAUUACAACUUCUUCCUUGUUUCUAAAAAACAAUCAAGCUUAUUAACCCUUUAUUGCACCUUUAAACGUCUUCGUUUUUGUUUGUGAUCCACUGUUUGUUAAUAUUUUUAAAAAUUGAUUUUAAGAUUUUGAAAAUUAAAACCUCAUUUAAGUUUUGAAAUCUUUUUUUUUUUCUUUUUCUUUUUAAUCCUUUUCAACAUUAAGUCAAAAUUUCAAAAGUAGUUUUGAAAAACUUGUUUUUAAAAUGUGAUAUGUAAAUAAAUUCUAACAAGGUGAUAGCAAAUUGGUUUACUUUUUAAAAUAAAAAUAAAACAUUGAUCAAUUGGUUACCAAAUUGAGGUAAGAAAGGUAGAGUUUCUUACAUUGGUUAAGAAUUCAACUUUUUCAUGUGAUGGAGGUGUAAAUCAUUAUAAGAAAUUAUAAGAAAUUGGGAUGAAUUAAUCUCAAUUUGAAUAUAUAGUUUGAGAGAUAAAUUAGUAAUUAGCAUUUCUAUAAUUGUUGAACUAAACAUUCCUCCCUGAGUGGAUAAAAUAUAUAUACAUUUGAGAUGAGAAGAAAAAAGGAAAGAAAUAAAAAAGAAAAGGAGAGAAUAAAACAGCCCACCAACCAAAGAGCAUUAUAAUUACAUUCCAAAUAGGGAAACAAUAGAGUACUCUUUUCUCAUCUUCUUAAAUACAUAGAAUCAUAAAGCUUGGCAUGCAAUGUGGUUGACAACAUUAUGAAAUAAGUAAUCAAUAAAAGUGUAAUUUUAAUUUUCUUUUAUUUAUGAUAUAGUUUUAAAUUAAUUAAUUUUUUCCUUCUACCCAACAAUUAAAUAAUUGAAGGAUAAUUAUAGGUUAAUUAUAGUGUGUGUGUGUAUGUCAAAAUACGUAUUUAAUAUGUAAUGAAAAUUAUUAUUUCAAAACAAACAAAUUAGAUAACAAUAAUUUGGUAUGUUUCUUAAAAGUUAAUUGUAUAAUAUUGUCUUUUCUUCUUCUUUGAUGUCUUCAAAUGUACAACAAUGAAGAUUACAAUCACUUUAUACUUCUCAUUUAAAACAAACAAAAAAAGUUUUUAAGUAUAUUAUUAUAACUAUUUCUUUUUUCUUUUCUUAAAAUAUGGCAUCCCUUUAAAACAAUAGAUGUUAAUUGUGCAUCUUUACAAAAAUUCAACUAUCAUCCAUAUUAAAUUUUAUUUUAAUUUAAUUUAAAAUCUCGCAAAUAAAAUGUAGAUUAUUAUGUUCGAUAAAAUAAUACAAAUUGUUGUUAUUUAAUUAAUGUCUAAAGUACUUGGACAUAUCUUGUUAUCUUAAUGGUUAAUGUCGUAAUCUUCCAUCUCCGAGGUGGAAGAUGGAAGGUUUAAUCCCUUUCUAUCAAUGUUGUAGUAAACUUUGUCAAUUUUUAAUAUAUGUUUUAUGAUAAUUUAAAUUGCAAGUUAUUUUGUUUAAUGAAAAUAUAUUGAUAAAAUUUGAAAAAAAAUAAUUAUCUAUCAAAAUUUCAAAAUAAAUGUUAAACACAAAAGUCUAUUUGCAAAAGAAUACAACUAGAUCCCAAGUACUUGUAAAUAUAACACAAUACAAUUUUUUUUUGUAAAUAUGGAAAAAUUUAGGUCCAAGUCUCGAAGUUUUAUCAUUUGUAGAAGUCUUUCCAUAAGAAACCAUAUCAUUAAUAGAGAAGUUCGUAUUAUGAGAAUCCUAGUAUCAUGAUCAUAAAUGUGUUUGGAAAAGGUUUAUUAUUGAUAGUGUUAUGAUAAUGUGUUUGGAGGAAGAAUUAUGAAUGAUAGCGUAUGUGUUCGAGAAAAGGAUUAUAAAUAGUAGUGUUAUGAUAUUAUGUGUUUGGAGGAAGGAUUAUAAUAGGUACAUGAUACUAUUUGUUUGGGUGAAGGAUUAUGAAAAUUAUUUAUUAUUAUUAUUAUUUUAAAUUUAAUAUACAAAUAUUUGUAUAUUUAAGUUACCAAAUUGUCAUAUUUUUGUAAAACAAGUUAUAUUAGUUUUCUUAAAUACGAUGUCCAUUUUCAACGAUUUUUUAUGUGAAGUGUUUUGUGCCAAUAAAUUAUUGUUAGUAUUUUAAGUUCAUAUUCUAACUCCAAUACACAAAUUAUAUAUAUUUAAUUUACUAAAUCAUAUUAGUUUUCGUAAAACAAUUUUCAGUAAUUUAUUCAAAGACGACGUCCAUUUUCAACCUUUUUUAACAUUCGGUUGUUAAGUGCGAAUAAAUUAUAUUUUUGUUUUUUAAUUGAUAUUCUAAAUUCAAUAUACAAAUUACAUAUAUUUAACAAUUGAUUUAAGCCAAGUAUUAGCACCAUAGUUUCAUUCAAACGAAACAAUAUACGAAGAACAAAAUAGUUUAUAAGAAGAGAGUUAUAAACUGAAGUCAAUUAAAUAGAACACAAUCCAUAAGUAAAAAUAUAAUUAUUAUUACUUUUAAUAAAUUCAUAUUCUAACUUCAAUACACAAAUUUCAUAUAUUUAAUUUACCAAAUCACCAUAGUUUUCAUAAAAUAGUUUGUAGUAAUUUCUUUAAGUACGACAUCCAUUUUCAACGUUUUUUUACGUAAUCGUUAGCGAUUAAAUUAUUAAUUUUUUUUAAGAGAAUCAUAUUCUAAAUCCAAUAACAAAUUUCAUAUAUUUAAUUUACCAAAUCGUCGUAGUUUUCGUAAGACAAUUUGUAAUAAUUUCUUUAAAUACGAUAUUAAUUUUGAACAAUUUUUACGUAAUUGUUACGUUCGGUUAAAUUGUUAGUUUUUUUAACUUCAUAUUUUAAAUUCAAUACACAAAUUUUCUAUAUUUAAUUUACUAAAUCAUCAUAGUUUUCGUAAUACAGAAACAAAAGGAAAAUACAGGUCAAACGGUGUAAUCACGAUAAAUUACCUAAUUCAAGAGAAAAAUAAGAAAUUAAAAUUUUAAAUUAAUAUAAUUGUACUAAAUUCAUAACUAGUUGUGUUUUUUAAAUAAAAUGAUUAAAAUUAACAAAAGUAUAAAAAUUAUAGAUGAGAAAAAGAUAGAUUAAAGCCAACAUGAGCUUAAUUCAACUGAUAGCCGUUCAAAAAAUUAAUUAAUUAUAACCCUUUUCUUGUAACUUUUUCCUCCCCAAACACAGGCAUAGAGUCUAUAAAUUUUAAAUUUUAAAAAAUGUUAUUAUAUGCUAUAAUUAUUAUUCCUACAAAUGUUAUCCAAUUAAUAAUACAUACAAAAAGAUUGGAUUGGACAUUUCUCUUGUUAAAAUGAAUAUAAUAGAUUUAGACAAACAAAAAUUCACUAUGUGUAAUUUGUUACACCACCCCAAUCAUAGUUAACCUUCUCGAUCAAAGAUGUAUAUACACAUAUUUAACUUCAAAUGGACAAUUAUAUAGAUAUUAUAAUUAAUCUUAUUUACUAUAACUAGUAUGAAUACUUGUUUUAAUCUUAUUUACGUAAACACUUAGCUUGUUUAAUAUUUUUUUAGUACAAUAGAGUCGUCUAUCAUAAAUCUCUUUAAUCAUUAAUACAUACUAUAGUGUUAGAUAAACACAAUACUCAACAACAUUUAUUUGGCAGCUAAAAAGUGAGUUAUAGUCUAAUACCACCAAGGAAAAAGGCAUUCAUGUGCCCUCAAUCUGGAUAAAACAAGAUCGAUUGGUGGGACAUAUUGGCUUGUUCAAAAAAACCUACUCUAAAAAUGAAAUAUUCGUAACUCGGGUUGCUGAGGAUGUAUACAAUCAACUUUUUUUUCUUCAAUUUUUUAAAAGUAGUUUAGUCAUUUGUAUUUAACAGUUUAAUUAUAUAUUUAUAAUCAAAUGUUAGAAUUGCAAUCAAACCCCAAUCUAGAAGGGUCCCAACCACUAACAAGUACGGAAUAUUUUGAUACGAAUUUGGGUAGACGAUCCAGCCACAUUAAAAGCUUUGUUGGGGCUUCAAACCUAAAUCUAUGAGAGGUAGCAACUCAUCAAGUAUAUCUACCGUAGAAAUGCAACAAGAUUAUAAUAUGAAAGUGUGGGAACUAAAAAUUAUUUUAGAAGAAUCUCAAUAAAAAUGGAAGGAAAACUUGAAUAGUAUAAAAAAAAAACAAAUGAAAGAGUAUAAUAGGAGACAAAUUGAAUAAAUGAAAAAAAAAAUGAACAAAGAGAAUAACUAAUGUAUUAGAUAUGAUUAAUUGAUGUUAUAAUUGUAGUAUAUAUGCUUAGUUUGGCCAAUUUGUUGCUAUUAUGAAAUUAUCAUAGCAAAGUAGUUACGUUUUACUAUUAGUUGCAGGAGAACGAAUGAUUGGCUAUCUUACAAUAUUAUGGUAGCCUUAAUUGGUUGUUUUAGUGUGUUUGUGGUGGGGUGGGUAAGAAAUCAAAUAACUCCUAAUUUUUUUUAUAAAAUGAGAGAAAAAAACUUCAUUAAGAACACAAAUCUCACCAACAAAGGUAGAGAAAAUCCAAUUCAAAAUGAUACAAGAAGCCUUACCCACCUCUUUGGAAGGAGAAGAAGAGAAAGGAAUAAAACAACCCCCACCCACCAUUCACCACAACCAUCUGAGCCAAACAAUUGACAUGUCCAUUUGUCGAGCACGGACAUUAUAUAAAGGAACACACAUGGGUAGAUAAAGCAAAAGCCACAAUAUCUUAAAUAAACUCCAAAAGCUCAGACAGAUCCAAACUCUUAUUAGAUAAAGCAUUAGUAAAACUCAUUACAAUCAGACUCAACUGGAAUAGAAGUGUGAGAGACAAAUGCAAAACAAUCAAUAAAAGUAGUCAAGCUUUUCACAACCAUCAGAGCCUCAAGAAAUUUAAUGAGCCAUCAGAAGUGCAUCCAAUCACAACUAGCAAGAACAAGAGAUGUAGAGGAGUCGUGAACCAUCCAACUAAUCCUACCAGCCUCCUCACAAUCACACCACGAAGCAUCCGAGUUAAGUUUUGAAAGCCCGUGAAAAGGUGGGGUUCAAGAUUCAUGACUCGAUUGACUCUUCUUUCUGGACAGGCUAGACAUACACCUAUAGAACUCAAAGAACUCCUCCACAUGUAAGGCAAUACUCUUCAGUAACCCUCGUUUUAUUAUCCGAGCAAAGGACACUAGACUUGAAAAGGUCAUUCUUAAAAUUCUAUAGAUUCCAACACAACGAUUGUUGUGAUCCUCCAUCAAAGCCCUUAAGAUUUUGAACAACCCCAACCUAGCAAUCCACCAGGCUUCCAUAACACCUAAAAUCAUUCAAAAAGCAAGAUAAGGAAGGGAAUAAAUAGAGCCAAAUACUCUUCGUAAAUUUACAACGUCCCACAAUAUAGGACUUGUAGACUCCACAAAGUUCCUGUAAAACAAACAAAGGGGGUUAGUAUCGAUUCCUCUCAUAGCAAUAUUUCCAAGAGUACUUGGAAAUGAAUUAAAAAUGUCCUUCCAUAGUGAGAGUUUUUUUAGAAAUGACAUGUGGGUCGAAGUUCAUGAGCAAAGUUAUAUUUCCUUGUCUCACAUUAAUAGUUUUAGAAGAGAUGAGUGGGCAUAGAUACCAAAGAAAGGUAAGUGGGAUAUAAGUCUAUUAGUGGUAAUCGCAUAACCAUGUCACCAUAUGCUCGCCAUCGCUGCCGUCCGUUCGAUCGGACAGGGGGUUCGGGUAACCGCGCUUGCACAAAAAAGGAUGUAAUUUUCAUUAUCUAUACUUUUUUGUGAAUUUACAUUUUUAUCCCUUUCACGUCUCGUUCUCUAACAAGACAUUGGAUAUCGGUUGGUAUCUGGGACACACAUCGCUCUCCUGCGCUGCCUUAAACGUUCGAUUCUAUCUGGACAUGUGUCGCACAACCAGCAGCCUUUGUUCGUCUGAAUCUGUCAUUCUAACGUAUGUUCAUAUGCUCCGUCUCUCCCUCUCAGCCUUACUGUUCCAACAAUCACUCUUGACCUCAAACUUGCUUCACCUAUAAAUAGGAGUCAUUUCCCAUUUGUGAUUAUCACUCUAAAAGAUCAAUUCCAUUCCAACUCUCCCUUCUCCAUUAUCUCAUUUUUAUACUUUCAAAUUUUGAGCUUAAAAAUAUUUUGUUUCUAUUCCUUGUUCUGAUGAGUGCAUGUCAUAAUAAGGAAGUUGUGUUAACCUUGGGGAGCAACCAACAAGACGAUUAACAUCAUGAUCGACCAUAUUUUCUUUUAGGGCAGUGAUUUGUCCCAACACAAAAAUUUAGUAUUUGUUCAAUAUUCUCACGUAUUUUUCAACAAGUUUCACCCGAGAGGGAACCCUAAGGUUCUAUAGCAAUUUCCAAAAGGGUUUUAUCAUUAAAGAGAUCCAAGCACAAAGGGAUCAAUGUCGCAUUAAUGUUAUUGACAGUAAGAAAGUAAGUGCUCUUAACUGAAAAACACUAUUUGAGGUCCAAUCCCCAGAUAAUGUCAUCACCUCCUGAUAAUUAGCAUCCAAUAUGCUUUAAGUUUACAAAGCUAGAGGUCCUUCUAGGAUCUUUGUAAACGGACACAAACGUGACUGACUUACCGGAUGAUUCCAACCAAGAGUUUAGUUAGAAGAUGAAUUACUCUUAGACCAAACUUAGAAUCUAUGAUGGUCACUCCUAGAUCCUAAGACAACUCACUUCAGAAUUAGAUUGAUCAAAACUAAUCCAAUGAAUCGAUUGAACAUCAAACCUAAGACAAGAUUUGAAAGAAAAGAACACCGGAGGGGUUGAAUAAGCAAAAGUUUUUAGCAUUCAUCAUGCCCCUUCUUAUGAGCAUUACAAGUCAUUUUAAAGGCCAAAUCGUCGUGCAUUGACCAAGGAACUCAAAAGUCAUUCAAAUACACUUAAUUGCAAAUUGUAGAAAAUAAGACCAAGGAACUUAAAACUUGAUUGCACAUCAAACUAGUAGUCAUUACUCAAAAACUAGAAAAUAGAAUUUCUUUAAAUUGUCUUAAAUAUGUGCUAUGUAAUUCGAUCCUCAUAAUGGCAACGUUUGACAACCUUUGACAUCACGAAAUCCCAAGAGAUGCAAGUUGGACAGCCACCUCUUCACAAAUUCUGCACACUUUUCUUGUUCCCUAUGCCAUCUUCCAAACUACACAACUUUUUCCGGGCCAUCUUGACUUCAAUCUCUUCUUGACUUGUUGAACUAACAUUAUAAAAAAAUUUGGGUUCAAUAUUCUCAGCCUUUCGUUGUGUAUUUGCCAGCUUUUGAACAUGCAAUGUGAAAGCCUCUUGUAUCUUCUUUGCCUUGCUCCUUGUGAUUGGUCCUUCAGGUACAUGCAAUGGAUUAUUGAUUAAAUCCACAUCACCUCCCUUGUGACUCCUAAGAGAGACACCAAUAAUAGUCUUUGCGUCGUUCUUUCCACAAGCUCAACAUUCCAACUUCCAUUAUCAUUAAUAAAAUCACAAUUUGCCAUGAGUUCACACCAUCAUUGAUGCAAAUAGGAGUUUUAUAUUUGUCGCCAGGAAGCCACAAGUCUUUAAAAGCAUAUACUUUUGUACCGUUACCCACCUUCCAUCUAUAGCCUUUUAGAAAUAAGUCCCUACCUGCUUGUUUUUUGUGGAGUCAAUCCCACUCAACUAUGCCAACAACUUGACUUGGUUGGUUAACUCUGCGGACUUAAGGAGGAAGGUAAAAUGCAAUGGCAUGUAUACAUCUCUACUUCUAAACAGCAAAGAUUUAAAGACUUGGAAAAUAGUGUUGUUGCUUAUGUUAAUGUUUCAUUCUACAAGAUGUGUCAUUGAUCAGGAUCAUUGCAUGCAAAAUGCUCGAUAAAGAUCUCUUCAUCAAGUAAUCGUUAAGUUCUCAUUGUGUACAAGUUUUCCUAUUGUUUGCCCAAGUGUAAGUGAAACAAUAGGUUUUCCAUGACGAUUCAGGGUUGAACACAUGGAAUUAAUAUCAAAGCUUAGUUUUAGAGUCUACUUGUCAAUUGGGCGAUAUAAUUAAAAGAAUAAACUAUACAGUAUGAAGGAGUAAGUUCAAGCUACAUCUACUUAUGUACACUAGAGAAUGACUGCUUUUACCUUUUGAAAACAAAGUUUCACCACUUCCUCAGUUCUUGUUUUCUUAUUUAAAUUCUAAUUCUUUACACUUUAUGGCAGCAAUGUCGGAGUCUUUAGAUAUAUUAUCUCUUUCAUACUUCGUGGCAAUCUUUGCAUCUUUGUAAGUGUCUAGCAGAGAGUUUUGGAGAAUUGCAGCUUUACUUUCUUUCCCAAGCUUCUCUUAUGUUUGAUUGAUUUCAGAAGUCAAUCUUUUGAAUUCAACUAAAUUUUCAUCCAUUGUCUUUGCAAGUUCAACUUGAAUACGAAUAGUUUCUCUCAAAUAGACUUUAUUAGGUACAUCAUUUCCUACAUAUAAGGCCUAUAGUUUCCACACAUCAUGUAAUGUAGCUUCAUCUAUUACUUGCCUUAACACGAUGUUUGUUGAAUUUAAUAACUGGAUUCUAUAAGCAACUUCCUCAAUCUUCUUUUUCUGCUCUACUGUAAGAGUUACAACUGAUAGAGAUUUUGGAUCCUCCAACCCUUUCAAAACCUUUUAAUGGGUCAAAAUCAACUAAAUUUUCUUUGACCACAUAUUAAAAUCAUUAUUUCCAUUAAACUUUUUCGAUUUCAUAUUUUUUUUAUUGCCAUUGUUGAAACUUUCUUCCAGCUCUGAUACCAAUUGUUAAAAUUGAAAGAUGAACUCAAGCACGUGAAGGGUAAAAGAAAGGCAGUAACUCGUUUCAACAAAAGUUAUUUCUCGACCUUAACUCGCCCGAGACAUUCAAUUGAAAAGAAAGAAUAAAAGAGGAAAUAAUGUGAACCUCUUGUCAAGCAGUGUAUCUGAUUUCUAGGGUUAGAGAAAAAAUGUCUAUGGAGAUUACGAAAAGUUUCAACAGAAGAACAUAACAAAAUUAUAGUGGUUCACCUUAUUAAAGCCUACGUCCACUUUUGAAGCAGCCAUGGAGAGCUUUUAUUAAUCUUCUUCAAGAAUCAAGCAAAGUAUAGAGAAUUCUUAGAUGUUUUUUCUUCCUUACGUCUUAUUAAUGUGUAUAAAUUAGGCUUAGUUAAUUUGGGUAAUUAUGUUAAUGUAAAUAAAUUAGGCUUAGUCUAAUUUGGGUAAUUACCCUUGUAUAAAUACACAACUACUUUGGUCAAUAAAGAAGGGGGUAUAUUCUUCAGUAUAUUCCUCAACAUGGUAUCAGAGCUAGGGUUUUCAGGCACCAUCUCAAUCGCCGCCGCCGCCGCCGCCGUCAACCACCUGUGAACGCCUCCUUCCCGAAUCGUCUCGAUACCUCCAGGAAGAGCUGCGUCCCGAAUCGUCUCCAUCCCGCAUCCUCAUCGCGCCUCGCAGCUAUUCCACCACAUCUCGAACCGUCUCCGUCAUCCUCGUCGCGCCGAUUAGUCGCAGCUCCGAUCUGUCUCCGAUCUGUCUCCGCUCCGAUCUGUCUCCAUCCGCGAAGUGCAGGUUGUGCUUCACCCGAGCCGUCUAGGUCCGAUCUGUCUCCGCUCCGCUCCGAUCUGUCUCAAUCGUGCAGUUCGCCGUCUCCGCUCCGAUCUGUCUCAAGUCGAGCCGUCUAGGUCCUCGCCGGAUCUGCCGUCUAGGUCCGAUCUGUCUCCGCUCCGCUCCGAUCUGUCUCAAUCGUGUAGUUCGCCGUCUCCGCUCCGGUCUGUCUCAAGCCGAGCCGUCUAGGUCCUCGCCGGAUCUGUCUCAAUCGUGCAAUCGUCGCUGCAAUCGUGCAACUUACUGCCAUUAUCACCAGAUUUGCCCAGAUCCGUUGCUGCAAUCGUCGGUCGGUUCGUGAAGCAAGCCGUACGCGUCACCUUGCAGCCGUCGUCCAGAUCUGCGUCGCCGUGCCCAUUCCUUUCCUCUCCGUUCGUGAAGACCUGCUGCGCAUUCUCUGUCUCCGUCAAGGCAAAUCUCAGCCGCCAAAUACGUCACGAAUCCGAAUCUGACGAAUCCAGUCACGAAUCAGUCAAAACUCGGCCGAAAAUCCGCAUUGUUAACCUCAAAUCAAAAUGGAGAGAGACCAUAUCUUUAGACCCAUUUCUACCAUACUUGAUGGUACAAAUUAUAUCACAUGGGCAAAUCAAAUGAAAAGUUUUCUUAUUGGAAGAAAACUAUGGCGCAUUGUAACUGGCGACAUCACCAAACCAACGGCAAAGGAAGGGGAUAACACAUUCAUUGAACGUCUCGAAGAUUGGGACAGUAAAAAUCAUCAAAUUAUCACCUGGCUUGGUAACACCUCUAUUCCCGCUAUACAUGCACAGUUUGAUGCCUUUGAUGAUGCUAAAAUAUUAUGGGAUUUUUUGUCUACACGCUUCAAGUCUAUUGGUUUAGCCCAUUAUUACCAACUGCACAGUACACUUGUAAAUCUAAAUCAAGAUAUUGGUCAGUCUGUUAAUGAAUAUUUGGCAGUUCUUCAACCCAUUUGGACCCAACUUGACCAAGCAAACAUCAACAAAGAUCAUCUUCGCCUUAUUAAAGUCCUUAUGGGAUUACGUCCAGAAUAUGAAUCUGUUAGAGCUGCUUUACUACACCGGAAUCCCUUACCCUCAUUAGAUGCAGCUAUUCAAGAAAUUCUGUUUGAAGAAAGGCGUCUUGGCAUCAACUCUACUAAACAAUCUGAUGUUGUCCUUGCCAGCACAUACACUCCCAACAGAGCCACAAAUAUGUUUUGUAAGAAUUGUAAGCUCUCUGGUCACAAAUUUAGUAACUGUCCUAAAAUAGAGUGCAGGUACUGCCAUAAACAUGGCCACAUUCUGGAUAACUGCCCUACCAGACCACCCCGACCUCCUGGCACUUCCACAAAAGAGAAAAUUUUUACCAAACAUGGUUCCUCAUCUGUUGUUGCUGCGACCUCGGAUGAUUCAUCCCUCAUUCAGAUAAGUGAUCUUCAGAGCUUAUUGAAUCAACUAAUUUCAUCAUCCUCCGCUCUGGCUGUUUCAUCAGGUAAUCGAUGGCUUCUUGAUUCUGCCUGUUGUAAUCAUAUGACCUCUGACUCUUCUCUUAUGUCUACUUCUAGCCCUACAAAAUCCUUACCUCCCAUUUAUGCUGCUGAUGGUAAUUGUAUGAACAUCUCUCAUACUGGUACCAUUGAUACUCCCAGUGUACAUCUUCCCCAUACUUACUGUGUUCCUAACCUGACCUUUAAUCUAGUGUCUGUUGGUCAAUUAUGUGAUCUGGGCUUAAAUGUUUCAUUUUCUCCCAAUGGUUGUCAGGUUCAGGAUCCGCAGACGGGACAGACGAUUGGAACGGGUCGCAAAGUGGGAAGAUUGUUUGAGCUCACAUCACUUCGGAUUUCAUCUCCUUCUUCCAUCUCUGCUUCGGUCACUGAUUCUGACACAUAUCAGUGGCAUCUUCGUCUUGGUCAUGCUUCCUCUGAAAAACUUCGUCAUUUAAUUUCUGUUAACAAUUUGACUAAUCUUACUAAAUUUGUUCCUUUUAAUUGUUUGAAUUGCAAACUUGCUAAACAACCUGCCUUAUCUUUUUCUCAAUCCAUCUCUAAUUGUGAUAAACCUUUUGAUUUAGUGCAUUCUGAUAUUUGGGGUCCUGCCCCAAUUACUACUGUUCAUGGUUAUCGCUACUAUGUUUUAUUCAUUGAUGACUACUCUCGAUUUACAUGGAUUUACUUUCUAAAACAUCGUUCUGAAUUAUCUCGCACAUAUAUUGAGUUUGCUAACAUGAUUCGCACUCAAUUUUCCUCUCCCAUCAAAAUUCUUCGCACUGAUAAUGCUUUGGAAUAUAAAGAUUCCAUCCUUCUUUCUUUUCUUUCCCAACAGGGCACUAUUGUUCAGCGCUCUUGCCCUCAUACCUCUCAACAAAAUGGACGUGCUGAGCGCAAACAUCGUCACAUUCUUGACUCAGUACGUGCCCUCCUUCUUUCUGCCUCUUGUCCAGAAAAAUUCUGGGGUGAAGCUGCCCUUACAUCAGUAUAUACAAUCAAUCGUCUCCCUUCCUCUGUCCUUCAAAAUACCUCUCAGUUCGAAAAACUAUAUGGUAUUUCUCCCGACUAUUCUAAACUCAAAGUUUUUGGUAGUGCCUGCUUCGUUCUGUUACAUCCUCAUGAACACAAUAAACUUGAACCACGUGCCCGUCUCUGUUGCUUCCUUGGCUAUGGCACCGAACACAAAGGAUUUCGUUGUUGGGACCCUCUUUCCAACCGACUCCGGAUAUCUCGGCAUGUCACUUUUUGGGAACACACUAUGUUCUCUCGUUUGUCCUCCUUCCACACCUCCUUCUCUAGUCCUCAAUCUUUCUUUACAAACACAUCUGUUGACCUUUUUCCUCUCUCUGAACCCACCUUGGAUACUGAGCUUGCACAAUCUUCACCUGCUACUGCAAAUCUGGAUCCACCGUCUGUCUCCGAUGAUGUUCCUGAAUCGCCACCUGCUACUCCUCUUCGUCGCUCUACCCGGGUAAGAGAACCUCCCCCUCAUCUCACUGAUUACCAUUGUUUUUCUACCAUUGUUUCCCUUGUUGAACCCACCUCUUAUCAAGAGGCCAGUACUAACCCAGUAUGGCAGAAAGCAAUGGAUGAAGAAUUACAGGCUCUUGAAAAGACGCACACUUGGGACUAUGUUGAUUUACCUCCCGGUAAAAGACCCAUUGGUUGCAAAUGGAUUUACAAAAUCAAAACUCACUCUGAUGGAACUAUUGAACGUUAUAAAGCUCGGCUUGUUGCAAAAGGAUACUCACAAGAAUAUGGGAUUGACUAUGAAGAAACAUUUGCCCCUGUUGCCCGGAUGACAUCUGUUCGCAGCUUGUUAGCUGUUGCUGCUGCCAAACAGUGGCCUCUUCUUCAGAUGGAUGUCAAAAAUGCAUUUCUUAACGGCAACCUAUCUGAAGAAGUGUAUAUGAAGCCACCUCAGGGAACUUCUCCUCCUCCCAACAAGGUGUGUCUCCUUCGUCGCGCUCUAUACGGUCUAAAACAGGCUCCACGAGCUUGGUUUGCCACGUUUAGCUCCACCAUUACUCAACUUGGAUUUACCUCCAGCUCUCACGACAAUGCCCUUUUUACACGACAGACAACUCAUGGUAUUGUUCUUCUCCUUCUUUAUGUUGAUGAUAUGAUUAUUACUGGUAAUGAUCAACAGGCCAUAUCCGACCUACAACAAUAUCUUGGUCAACAUUUUGAGAUGAAAGACCUUGGAUCUCUCAAUUACUUUCUCGGUCUUGAAGUCUCUCACCGUUCAGAUGGUUAUCUGUUAUCUCAAGCGAAAUAUGCAUCUGAUCUAAUAGCACGCUCAGGAAUUACAGACUCCACCACAUCUUCAACACCGUUAGAUCCUCAUGUCCAUCUAACUCCGUUUGAUGGUGUUCCUCUUGACGAUGCAAGCUUGUAUCGGCAACUUGUUGGCAGUCUUAUAUACCUAACAGUAACUCGCCCAGAUAUUGCAUAUGUUGUUCAUAUUGUCAGUCAAUUUAUGGCUGCUCCUCGAACAAUUCAUUUCACUGCUGUUCUACGCAUACUUCGCUAUGUCAAAGGCACCUUGGGACAUGGUCUUCAAUUCUCAUCUCAGUCUUCCCUUGUGUUGUCGGGAUAUUCUGAUGCUGAUUGGGCGGGGGAUCCUACUGAUCGACGAUCCACUACAGGAUACUGUUUUUACUUAGGUGAUUCUCUCAUCUCAUGGCGUAGUAAGAAACAAAGUGUUAUAUCUCGUUCCAGUACGGAAUCUGAAUAUCGUGCUCUGGCUGAUGCUACAGCUGAACUUAUAUGGCUUCGGUGGCUCCUUGCCGAUAUGGGUGUCCCUCAACAGGGUCCUACCCUCCUCCAUUGUGACAAUCGUAGUGCCAUUCAGAUUGCUCACAAUGAUGUGUUUCAUGAACGUACAAAACACAUUGAAAAUGACUGUCACUUUGUUCGUCACCACCUCCUAAGCAACACCCUCCUCUUACGUUCUGUUUCUACUAUUGAACAACCUGCGGAUAUCUUCACCAAAGCCUUGCCAUCUAAUCGAUUUUGUCACUUACUUACCAAACUCAAGUUGAUCGCUACUCUACCACCUUGAGUUUGAGGGAGGGUAUUAAUGUGUAUAAAUUAGGCUUAGUUAAUUUGGGUAAUUAUGUUAAUGUAAAUAAAUUAGGCUUAGUCUAAUUUGGGUAAUUACCCUUGUAUAAAUACACAACUACUUUGGUCAAUAAAGAAGGGGGUAUAUUCUUCAGUAUAUUCCUCAACACGUCUUCUUUCUCUCUUUUUGUCAUAUUGAUUUCUCAUACAGUGUUCACUAUUUAUUUCUACUUUACAGAGCAGUUACAAGGAGAUGGGGAUAACAACCUUCAACUAACUAAUCAGUUUUUCUGUUUGAUUUUAGUUGCAGGACCACAGAGCUAAGAAAUUUGUAAUCAGAGACAUCGAGCAGCUCUGAUCGAGAAGUAACUACUUCUUCAUUGAGAAGACUGGGAAUAGGGCACUGGGUGCACCAAAGAUGAACUAGGAUUAAGCAUCAGGAUAUAACUUGCUUUGUCUAUUAAGGAAUCACUACUAGAAAAAUAGGCUUUCUUGACGGUUGCUGUUUUCCUUUCUUGACAUUUUUUUAGAAAAACGUCAAGAAAGAUUUCAUUUUUAAUAAAAAAACGUCAAGAAUUUUUCUGAAACAUCAUUCUUGACGUUUAUUAAACGUAAAGAAAAAAUAAAUUGCAUUUUUGACGGUUUUAAACUAUCAUGAACAAUUGCAUUUUUGACGGUUUACAAAUGUCAAGAACAAUUACAUUCUUGACAGUUUUAAAAUGUCAUGAAUAUUAAAAUUCUUGACGGUUUUAAAAUGUCAUAAAUCAGUUCAUCCUUGACGGUUUUAAAAUGUCAUAAAUAAUACCAUUCUUGACGGUUCUAAAACGUCAUGAACAUAAGUAUACUUGACGUUUAUAAAACGUCAACGUUCACUAUUCUUGACGUUUAAUCAACCGUCAAGAACUUUGCCUUUCUUGACGCUGGCUUCAACUACGGUUUUAAAACCGUCAAGAAAGCCUUCUCUUGACAGUUUAAAAACGUCAAGAGAGCCUGUUUUUGUAGUAGUGAAUCAGAGCACCAUGAUACAACUUGCUUUGUCUAUUGAGGAAUCAGAACACGAGGAUACAACAAGAAUCUCCCGAGAUCCACUGAGAUCUUCUGUAAGUAAUAAAACUUACUCUUCUUUUUAACAGAUCAUAAGCCUAAGUUUGUGGUUUUUGUAUAUAUUGCGGUGGUUAGGUAGAAAUCAUAUAACUUCGACCAAAUUUAGUUACUAGCAUUGUUUUGGAAGAUUCAUUAAAGUGGUAUGAAUUGUUGAAUUGUUCCUAAUUAAGUUUAUGUUUGUGGUGGGGUGGGUGUAAAAUCAUAUAGCUUUGUUUUAGGUAAUUACGUUCUAAGUUUUAUUGUUAAACUUGUGAAUGUUUGUGUUUAUGUUUAUAAAUUGUAAGCGUAUGAAUUGCAUUUAUUCAUCAAGUUUAGACUAAGGGCUCAUAUGGGUGUGAGUUUAUUGAUUUAUUUUAUUAUUAUUAUUGUGAUUAUUGUGAUUGCUAUGUUUUUUUUAAGUUUGAAUAAGUUCAACUUUUCGAUGAGAUGCGUUUGAAGUUAUGGAUUAAGUUGUGUUUGGAGAUUAAUUAGUUUAACAUUGGGUUGAAAGUUUGUCUUACGUUUAAUUUUAAUCUACUAAUGUGCACUAAUAUCUCAACUUCAUUUAUUUGUAGGUAACUUUGAUGCUUUGGAGGUCUCUUUUAGAGUCAAGCUCACAAUAUGUCAACAUCGAGAGUAGUUAAAAUCUACUCUCGACACUAUGUUGAGACCGUCAUAACUGUUUGUAGCUAUCUCUAAAGGAAAGUUGAAAUUUAAAAAAAUAAUAAUAAAAAGAUAAAAAGUGUUCUCUUCCCUUCAAAGUCAAAUAAACUUUUAACUAAGUGAUUACUACUUUUGAAAUCUGGUGACACAUAUGUUUUAACUAAUCUCAAUCUCACUUCCAGAAAUCAAGGUUCAACUUUGAGCUUAAAAAAUAUUCUAAUCAUUAAUUAGGGUGGUAGGUUUUGUGGACUAACCUUUUGGCAAAAAAAAAUCAAAACCUACAAAAGCUAGGGGGUUAUAAGCCAAAGAUUUUCCUUUAAUUUAUCAUAAAAGGACACAUGGCCCUCUCUCUAUUUUCCUAAUACAUGCAUCCUCUCGAACUUAAUUAAAACCUCUCUAUACUACAAUUCAUUGAAAUAUGAAUCUAUUAUCACUUUCUUACUUUAUAUUCAUUGAAUUUCCAAAUUUUUUGAGUUUUAAUUAUUAGUCGAGUGCUAUGAACCCAAAACAUGUCAUGCUUAUGAAUGUACGUAGAUUCUGAUUUGAUAUUAGAAUCUAGAGUUGAAUGGGACAUAAACUAAAAAUUAUGUGUUCUUGAAUUUUAAGAAAAUAAUUCAUUAUUAAUGUGUCUAUAUUUUAGGGAAACUUAACUUAAAAUUAAAAAAAAAAUCAAAAAUCAAAACUUUUAUAAUCCAUUAAUUUAUCACACACACAUAUAGUUGACAGACAUCAUCACAAUUCAUUGGAAAUUAUUAAAACAUAUAAUAAAUGUGCAGAUGACAUCAAAUUUCAAUUGUGUUGACUUGUGCACAUUUACUAAACUAUAACUAUUAUUGAAUAUUGAAAUUGUUCAUCAAAGUGUUUCUAUCAAAUUUGGACAAGCUAAAAAAUUAAUUAAUAACAUUUCAUAAGAUUUUCAAACUAAUUAGUGAAUUUAUCAUAUAUAUAAAGUUCACCUUAUUAGUUCUAUAAUAGUUGAUUUCAUAUUUUCAAUAUAUUUUUUUCUUUAAAAUUUGAACCAAAUUUAUUUAUUUUUAAAUAUCUCAUAUGCUUUAUUUUAGAAGUAAAACUUAUCUUUUUAUUUCGAGGAUUCAACGAUAACAAGUUAUUUGUUCAUGUAUGGUUCAAAGAGACGAGAUUAUCAUAUUCAACAAAAGUAUUAACCAUUUUAUUUCUACUCAUAAAUACUUCUUAAUUAAAUUAAUUUUUUUAUCAUUUAAAUUUAUUAUAAAUAGUCUUACAACAACACAAUAUACAAUACCUUAGUCACAAUAUAUUUCAACAUAUUUAAAGUAAUCAAUUCUCACAUACAUAUUCUAAAUGUGUAUUAUUCGUCACAUUCCAUUAGUAAUCUAUGCUAUGAGGCAUUGUAUGAACUUCUAUUACCCCUUAACUUAGUGACUUCAUUUAAAGAUACCCUUUGACUUAUAUAGUUAAUAAUCAAUUUGAAUAUACAUGCUCCUCAAAAUCAAGUCUUAAGCAACACUCUUAAUAGAUCUUCCCUUUUAUGAGUUCAACCAUGCAUUAAUGUCAACAAUAUGCAUCACAAAACACGGCCCCUACAAUCAUCUUCACUAUGUGAUGAUCCACACAAAGGCAAGUUGGUAUUAUUCUCUUACUACUUUUCGAAACCAAUAACCCUAACCUUUAUUCAUUGAUUGUGAUUUGUGAGAGGAUGGUCCCAAUUUUAAUAGUGAGAAGAAGGAAAUAAAAACAAUAACCCAAUGUGAGAAGAUGUAGAUAAAUGAAAUAAUAACCCAACUUUUUAAAACAAAUAUAUAUACAUUUUUACUUUUUACUUUCGUGGUAUCACGGUCAAAUUAGAUCAACACUAAGUUCAUGUAAGUUGGGAUCCCACAAAAAGAGGCAUUAUUAAUUUAAAUAUAUAUAAAAUAGUUUGAAAAGAAAGUGUAAAUUUGAAUGCAGAUCAUAUAAAAGUUGAAAAUUGAAAUGGAUGCCAUUUUAAUUGUUGAAGAAAAAAGAAUAAUGUGAAGUAAAGUAUAGAAAUGAAAGGGAAGAAAAAGAAAAGAAAGUGAGGAUGUUGGAGAUGGUGUAGUCAAUUCUGUUGAAGAAGCACGCUAUCCAAAAUCAUGAGUGGGAAAGAAAAAGCCCACACACAACCAAGUUUUUCAAAACAUCAAUACUCCCUUUUUUCACAUCACCCCAUUUUUUAUUUUUUUUAUUUAUUCAAACUGCAUUAUCAAUUCCAACUAAUUUUUUUCCUUUUAGUAAUAUAUAUAUAUAUAUAUUAAUCCAAAACACCUAAAAUCUUGUCUUUUCUCUCUCUCUACAAAGUCAUCGCCGCCGUGAUGGUCGCCGGAGCACGAGAUACUAGACGGUUGUUCCUCCUUUUUCUGCCUUUUAAUUUACAGACUUUGUCUUUAACCACCUAAUUAACUAACCCUAUAUAUAUUACCAGCUACCAUCUACCAAAUUAAUAUUACACCUCUUUCAUAAUUCAUUUCUAUACAUAUCAAAUUUUAUGGUUUUAAUUUGUUUGUUAACCUUCUACUACCAUUAAACUCCAAACCUAAUUUGUUGUUAACAAACACAACACACCUUAUAACUUCAAUUAAUACCAUAUUAAAAUAAUAUGAUUGUUGGUAUUUCUCGUGCAAUAAGAUUAUGAUAUCCACAUACACAAGUUGAUCAUAGGUGAAUAGUCCCUUAAUUCUCUAACUUUCAUAUAUAUAGGACAACACGUACAUUAUUAUUCCCUCUUCAACUUUUAUUGUGAUAGCCUAUAUAUUUGUAAGGAAUUGGAGACAGAGAGUUGACCGUUUAUCUAAAGAAAAAAAAUUACUUAUUAUUCCUUCGUUUCUAACUAAAUUGACCCCAUCCACUAAGGAGUUGCAAUAAGAUUAUUAAAUGAGGUUAGUCACAAUAUAAUAUAAUAUAAUAUAAUAUAAUAUGCAAUGUCACAUGCUUAUUCCAACAUCCUUACAUGAAAUUUCAAUAUAAUUUAUUUGUGUUCUAAAAUAGUUAUUGUAAUUCGAUUAAGUUUUUAAUAAUGACGAUUUUGUACUUAAAAUGUGGUUGUCUCUCAAUUAUCGUUCCAUACAACUCUUGUUUUAGUGUGUCUCUAAAAAAAAAGCUAGUCAUCCAUGCAAAAGUGUGACGUACUCUCUUCCUUUUAUUUUUAAUCACCAACUGUAAUUUUCAAAAUGAGACAAAGUUGGCAGAGAAAGGAAAGGAAAAGUGGUGAAAUGGUCAAAAAAGAAGAAACCGAAAAAGAAGUUGUUGGGUGAAUUUUCAACUUUGUGUUUUUCCUUUUGGUUAUUUUGUUGUUUUGUUGCAUGGAGUUAUUUUUCUUUUGUUUUUUCUUCAAAUUUAUAAUACUGUUUGUAGUUGCAGAUUUUUCCAUAGCGAAAAACACGAAAGUGUUUUUGUAAUAUAUUUAUCGCUCAUGAGUGGUUGUUUUCAGGUGGCUUUGCCGGCCGGAAGACUUUAGGGUUUUGUUUUUAAGUAUAGAAGAGAAAAAGAAAGAAGCCUUUUUUUUUUUUUAUUUCUUCAUAAAAGGUGAUGCAAAAUAGAGGGACAAAAUUCUAGCCUUUUUUCUUACAAGCUAGACAACUAAUCUAAACUCUUUGACAUUUUCGUCAUCUUCGUCCUAUAUUCUCUCCAAGGUUUUGGAUUAUUAAGAUACGUCUUUUAACUGAGUUCUGAGUUUCAAUCUUAUCUUAUUUUAUGAUCUAGCAAAAACAUGAAUGCAAAGAUUUUGUUCAUAGAGUUUAGCAAACUCCUUGCAAAUUUGUAGAAAUAAAAUUGAAACAAUAUUACAUAAUUUAGGAUAAAUAUGUUUUUUUUACCCAAAUAACUAAUUUCAAUUUUUACUAUGUUUUAAAGAAAAUAAACUAGGAACAAUUAAGUUGUUACUAUUAAGACUGAGACUUCCAAAAUCAACAAAAGCAAGAAGAAAUUAUAUAUUUAUUAUUAUUUUGUGUUCAUAAAUUUUGAAUUCUAAAAAAGAAUUGAAGGUCUUGUCUGGUAACAAUUUCGUUUCUUGUUUUUCGUUUCGAAAAUUAAGCGUCAUAUUUAUUAUCCUGUUCAUUUCAAUUGACAUCUUUAUCUAGUUGAAUUACUAGAUAAAUUCCAAAAGAAAAACAAAUAUUUAAAAGUUGUUUCUCUUAGCUUUCAAAUUUUGACUUGGAUGACUUUUUAAAAUUUUAAAAGAUAGAUAAUAAAGAAAGAAGAUUUGAGGUGGUAGAAGGGAAGAAAGUAAAAUGUUGGAACUACAAAGUAAGUAGUAUGUACUAAUCUCAGUUUGAUAUAAUGUAAGUAAGUAGAACACUUGUGAUCAUAUCUCCUCCUGUUUAAUUUUUCUUGUUCAUGUGAGGUACAAUCAACUUUGAAUAACAUAACACAUUAUAUUAUAGAUAUGGAAAUUAAAAAGAAAAAGUGGUACUCAUCACAAUUAAUUAAAAAAGUAAACACACUUUGCCAACUCUUAUCAACAUAACUUCAGUGGUCUAAUCGCAACUUAAUUAUAAGCAUCGAAUUUAAAGCAUGUUAGCAACAAAAAAAAAUGAAAAUAGUAACGUAAUUAAGUAUUGAGUAUAUUAUCUUUCAUGCAGGUAAGCUCGACGUGUCUCAUCAACUCUCUCAACUCUCUCAACAUUGGUGUCUGAGAUGAAAUAUCUACAAAUAAUUAAUGAAUCUAUUAAGAAUAUAACAUUGAAUAAUUGUUGAGAAUAUUAGUUUUCAAAUGUUUUUGGUUUAUUCAAUAUAAAUGCCUCAUACGCCCACUCAAAAACUAAUUAUAAUUGGAUUUUGUGUGAAAUAUUUGGCUUCCACCACAGAUUCUAAGAGAUUAUGAGAAUGGUAAAAGGGUGUUCAACUCGUAGAGAUGCUUGGAUAUAUCUACAUAACUCAAGUAGUAUCUUUAAAAAAAAAACUAAUUAUAAUUGAUGAUAAUUUUAGGCGUAAUUAUAAUAUGAUUGAGUGUAUAUCAAUAUUUAAAAAUAUUGCAAAUCUAGUAAAGUGUGAUAUAUUUCAAUCCUUCUAUCAAUAAUAGACUUCACUCAACUUUCACAAAUACUUUUAUAUUUGUAAUUUUUUAAAAGUUAAAAGUGUAUAAACUUAUUGCAUAAAUUAAAAUGGAAAGUUAAAAGAAACUUAAUUACUAGAGAUUAUUUUAUGGUUAAAACCCUAAACCGUUGAUGCAAUUACUUCAAAUGUUGUUUCAAAAGUAGAAAAAAAAUUGACAAACUAUUUACACUUUAUAGAACGAAAAGACAAAAUUCAUUACACGUUUUUUACAAAAGUGCAAAUAUUUUGUCAAAUAUUCUAUUUUUACAAUUAUCCUUAUUUUUAUAAUAAUUUUAAAAAAUAAUUUUUUUCUUUUUUCUCCUAAUAAAUUUGAGUAUAUAAAUCUACUAUUUCUUCUAUUAGAAACAAAAUAGAGUGAGUAAUUCUAGGAAUGGGAGAGGUUGAAUCUCCUUGAUUUGAGUAUGUAGAUGGACAAUGGGUUAUCAUUAUUUAAAAACUUCAAUCAUACGUUAAGAUAAUUAUAUAUCAUAUUGAGUUUAGUUUGACCGUAAUUGAUAUCAGAUAUUUUUUUUUUCGAUAUAAGAGAUUUGAUAUGUCAUGUUCUAUAAUUAUCGUACUUAACAAAAAUAAUAACUCUUUCAAAAAGAAAAACCAAUUAUAAAUUUUGGCAUUAUCUUCUAGUAGACAGAAUAUCCCUAUACACUUCAAAACAAAGUCUCUUGUUUGGGAAACAUUAAUAAAUUCAUUUAUGAUAACCUUCUCAAUUCCAUGCAUCCUUUUUUAGGAACACUCUUCCUCAAUUCCUUCCUUCAUAGAUAUUAAAAUAAUAUAUUGCUUCUAAAAUUUAAUUGACCAUGCAUAUCUUUAUCUCUAUAUCUAAAUAUACACUCUAAUAAAUAUUGCCUUUGUUUGGUUCUUUAUUGACAAACAUAUAUAACCCUAUAUAUAUGUGCUAUAAUUAUAUGACAUUGAAAUGAUUCUUAUUCACAGUGCAUUUAUUAUAUUAUUGUCUCUUUAUUCGUGUCAAUCUACUUUCAUUGACCCUAUUAUAGUUUUCUUGAGUUUUUCCUAAGAAAUUUAAUGAGUUGGUUUUUAAUUAGAAUCCACUUUUUUUUUUAAUUGAAAAAACUACUCAUCAAACUUUUUUUAAUCAAAAUUUUGAAAAUGAGUUGAUUUGAGUGUCAACCUUUUACCGAUCAUGUUACAUAACUAUUUCUUUGUCAUUUGUGUUUGAACCAACUUACGUGAAUUUCGACUAAUUUCAUCUAACGAGUUAGUUUGAUGUUAAAAAAAAAUAAACAAACUUAUGCGCUACUUAAUUUAGUUUUCUAGUCUCAACUGCAUACUCUUUAUUAACCUACAAUCCAUUUGAAUUGAGUAAUUUACCCCCAAAUAUUAACAAAUAAGUAAUUUUUUAAGAAAAAAAUGUUAUAAUUUCAAAUAUAUAGAUUAGUCAUUGUUUAAACAUAAACAUUAUUUGUGCAUUAAAUGAGACAAAUGUCCGUUAAUACGAUAGGUUGGAAAAAAAUACCUUAACACUUUCUUUUGAUCAUAUUACUUAACCAAAAGAAAUGUACAUUUAAAAAUUGUACGAGCACAUUUGUGAAUUAAAAUAACAUAUCAUGAUGUAUCAAAUAAUAAAUUAUAGUGGAAUAUAUUAUUGGGGUUUUAGAUGUUCUCUCUUUUAAAGACUUUAGGGUUUUUUUUUUUUUUUUUUUUUUCUCAUAGAAAAUAGGACAAAAGGAGGGCAUUUGUGGAAAAAAGCAAAGAAAAAGGAAAAUGUGGUGAGAAGUUGAAAAAUGAAAUUGGAAGCAAAAAGCUAGAAGGCUAUGAGUUGAUUAGGGUUAGUUCAUUAAAGUUUGUAGGAGGAGUUCAUUAAAUUUGUAUAGGGAGUUGUAGGGAUUUGCAUCAAAUUCAUCACUUUCUUCUUUCUUUCAUUCCUUCUUUUAAAAUAUAACAUCUUAAUUGCAAAGCAAACUUUUCUUUCUUUUUUUUUCUUGACUUUCUUUUCCCAAUAAUAAGUUUUUAGAAUUAAUACUAAUUAUUUAUAUGCGGACAAAAGAUAUAUAUUUCUUUCUCAAAUUCAAAUUCAAUUUUAAGUUUUAGAAAGCAUGUAACAAGAUAAAAGAAAGGUGUGGAUGUAGAGUAAUAUUUAUAAAAUUUAUUUUUAAGAAUAAAAAAUUACAAAAAUAGUUACAAAGAAAGUUAACCUUAAUUGAAAUUAGAAUGUAAGGCAAGAUGAAAAUAAUUUAGGUUUAGUUAGAUUGUGAAGUCUCCAUUAUUCUAAUACAGUUGGGUUUGAAUUAAUAUUAUAUGAAACUAUACCCAUAAAACUUUUGGUCUAAUUGGGCUUCAAGACUUUGAAAGUUUCACUUGUAACUAUCAACAUUGGCAUUUGUUCUUAAAGAUCAAUAUUGUACAACUUUAAAAUGUUUCCAAAACAAGUUUGUUUUCCUUUAAACAAAUUUUGAUAUUGAGCCAAACUUAGCUAACAUUACACAAUAACAACUAACUACUAUGUAAAUAUAUUAAUAAACAUAUAUAUGUAUGUACAUACAUGUAUUUUGUUAUUGUUAUAAAAAAUAAAAAUAAAAAAGAAAAAGGAAAAUACAUCUCAAUAUCAAAGAGGCAUCAAUCCCAUUCAAAAUCAAAUGUAAUUUAAAAGCUAACGUAUGUUUUUUUAAAAUAAUGAAACUUAAUCGAUAAAUAAAAUAAUGAUUGAGCAUGUUAAAAAAGAAAAAUUUAGAGUAAAAUGAUACGAAACCCUUGAGCCUCAAAUCCUAAUCAUGUUGAAAAAACAAGACUCGAAAAAUUCAAACCUUAACAUGAUUAAUUCAAAAUCAUGUUGGAUUUGACUCCUGAGAUAUACCCUAAAUUUCUUGUAACUCUCAUCAACCAUCGAUCUUUAACACACUUCACAAUCACAGGUAGAUCAAUCUUUACUUUAAUAAAUGCCCCAAAUAUUCAUCUAUUUUAUCACAAGAACACAUAAGUGCAUAAUACGCUUAAAAGCUCUCAAAGUUUGAAACAUAGAUACUAGGUUUUAAAAUCAUAUUCAUCUUAUCCUACGUACAAAUCUUAAUUACAAAUACUAGAUAGCUUUGUAUAACUUUCAAAUGAACUUCAAAAUGAAACUCUUACAUAUUUUACAAGAAAUGUUACAAACUAAACUCUUAAAUAUUUUAUUUAGCAUUGCAAGAGUUGUAACAUUUCAGAGCAUUUAAAAAAUUGUAACAUUUCAACAAUUAUAACCGUAGCUUAAAUUUUCAAAUCAAUCUUUAUUCGGGUCUAUGAUUUAUCCAAUCGUAACUUAAAACUUAGAAACUAAAAUUACAAUCCAACGUGCAUUUUUUAGGUAUAUUUGAUUAAAUAAUGAGAACUUUGUUUCAUGUUUUACUUGGAAUGAUAAAAGUGACCCAUGUUUAAGCUACAAAUAUUAUGUCAAAUUGAAAGAUUAAUUUUAAGUUGGUAGAAGAACUAAAUUGAUGUCUUUAUAUGAAUUGUAAAACUUUCCACAAAAAACUUGAAAACUUCUCAAAGUUUAUAAGAACAUCCAAAAGCAAUCCAACAUUUCAAAUUGUUAUACUAUCAAAUUUCAUAACUUCUAUUAUCAAAUUUCAUAACUUCUAUGUUCCCAACAUCCUAAUUAAAUUGCAUACAUUAAUCUAACUUCAACAUUCACGAUUGAGUUUGUCGAUCUCAGCCAAUGAGCAAUGAGCGCCCUGAGAACGAGAACAGGCUUCUUCGACCUAGUUGCAUAUGAUCAGUGGGGCUGGGGUACUUUUUCUUUUUCAUUUUUUUUAUGUACAUGAGCUUAUUUAGAGAUUACAAACAAAUAGGCUUCCUCUUUCAUCACCUUUUGGUUCUACUAUUCACACGAAUGAGAUAAUUUACAAGUUCUAACGUCACAAAGAAAUGUUGUUUUUUAACUUGAGUAAACAAGAUGGUGACUGAAUCCCUGACUGAAGGCAACAUCACUACACAUGAUGAUCCUUGAAGAAUUGAAAACCAUUUCAGGGUCCUCAAGAGCUAAUCCAUGAAAACUCGGCAAUGCAAUUCCUUCUAAGAGAUACAAGUCGACAAAUGGCACCAAAACUGUUUUGAUCAAAGUUGCCAGUGUCUUCUGCAGAAUUUUAAGAUCAAAGAAAGAUGAAUGGCUUUAUUAUUAAAACUACCAUGAGUUAGUAUGUUACCAAUUGUUUUCACAACAAUUUGCACAAGAUCUUGAGUUUAAGGAAUCCUUCUUCAUGACUUUAUGCUGAAUUUAAUGUUGAAGAUUUUGUAUGAAGCCAUUGUACCUGAAUUAGAUAUAGUCGGAUAUGGCCAAUCUUGCUCCAUUUCAAAGCCAACGUAAAGUCUUCCAUGGUAACAUGUCCAACCAAAUUCUUUUCCAAGAUUUUUGGAAAAAAAGAGGCAGUAAUUUCCUGAUCCAACAAUAAGAAGCAAAAGUUACUGACGAAUUGAGAUAGACCUAAAUCUAAAAGUCUCAUUACAAACAACAGGCCCGACCAGUUCUUCUUGUGUACGUUUCCAGAUAUAUGUAACUGAAGACAUGAACCUCAAACUAAAGGCUUUGGCACGAGCUUACCAGUGAGAUACAAGCAACUGGAAUAAUUUCACUGGUGUUUCGGACAUUGAUUAUCAUGUCAACAUGAAUGGUGGCAGAGAUAUCUUUGUCUCGCAAUCUCAAGAUUGGUGGAGAGGAGGCGGAAAUAUUUAGGACAAUAUCGUCAUCUGGAUACUGCUGGUAGAGUCGAGGAAUAACCCACUUCCAUGCUGCAGUGUUCAAAAGGUGCUGAUCAGGAAUAUGAUCCACAAUCCAGUGCAUAUAUUCCUGGAAACAAGAUAACUGUUAAUACAAGCACUUCUUGUUUCGUUCGGAAUGAUGGAAGGGUGAAUUCAUGGAAAGUAAACAUUGUAAUCAAUUAACCUUAGAUCAAUUGGCUUUAAAAUAGAAGUUGAAGAUUAUUGUACGGUCUAAGUGAUGAUUGAUGUGAUUUGAAACUUGGUAUUGCAGGGAGGGAAAAAAAACUAUGGGAGAGAUCAUCUGUGAAAACUUACUUGAAAAAUAACUUGUGAAGCAGAGUUGAGGACACGUUCAUGUAGAGACAUCUCAAUCAUCUUAGCAGAAUCUUUGCAGUAGACAGAGCCUUUGGUUUCAUCAUGGACAUACUGUGGCAAAAGAGAAAAACAUUAACGAAAGAAGCAUGUAUGAAAAAGUAGGAGUCUUCAUGCACAAGAACUCACUUUAAAGGGAACUUGUGAAGCAGAGCUGAGAACAUUUUCGUGUUGCGACUUCCCAUAGAUGGAAUCUUCAGUUUCUCCUUGGUUGUAGCUAGGAACUAAUUUCUUGUAAGAAGGGCUGAAUAAACCAUUGAUUUUAAAUUCAAUGGAAGAAGAGGAUAACACUGGGCUCCCCACAAAAGUGAUAUUAAGCGCAGCAAUAUCAGCUAUGGGAAUUUCUUGAGGAAAUGACUGCAGUGACGAGUCAAGCUUUACUAUCCCUUCUUUUAGUUUUUUGGAAAUGUUAUCUUCAACUGUCGACUCUAUUUUCCCUUCAAAAGCAUCGACCACCCUGAAAUGAAAAAAAAAAUGCCCCCAACUGGUUUUAUACCUCAACAUGCAGAAAGAUCAAGCAAAGGUUAGUGUCAAUCAUAAUCAUUUCGUUUUCUACUUUGUCAAAUUUUAUCACAUUUCUUCAAAGCUCCCACCAGCAAGCCAAAAAAACUAAAACAAAACGAAGAUGGGCUUGGAAAUUUUGAAUCUUUUGAAGGGAACUUUCAAUCCUACACAGGAAACUAAUAGCUCUCAACAGCCUCAACUGAGAUACCAUAACUAUAAAACAUGGCAUAGCUAUCCAGUCUCAGUGCACAAGAGUCAGCGCAAGCAACCUGAAACAGAAGAGAUUUCAUGAAAGACAGAAGAAGAGCAUAGGUUUUGGUUGUGUACCCUUGGUAAAGCCAAGACGCUCCACCGUGUAAAUGUAUGGAGAUUGCUUCGACAUUGCACCCGCAUUCUAAAAGAGUCAGCUCAAGAGUUCCAUUUUGUUGAUUUAAGCUUACAGUUAGGCCUAUAUUCAUACCAUCAACCUAAAAGUCAAAAUCCCCCAAUAAGAGUUCAAUAAUGAUGAAAAUACAUUGCAAGAGUUAUUUGUUAUAAAUUACUGCAAAUUGAAAUGCAAAGCAUCUCAGAAAUCUUGAGCAAUCAAUUAGCAGAGCCAUCUCUUCCACAUUGUUCAAUUUUAUUUCUUUUCCUAAUUAACUGUGCUGAGUGUUCUAAACCAUAAAAUCCCACCCUUGUAGGGGUGUGUGUCCUGGUGGUAAGAGUUAGUGGUGUUUGGAGAUGUGCAAAUCAAAGUAUUGAGUCCAAGCCGGUUGGUAAGUUAUGAUUUUAAAAUAUAUGGCAAAAUACACUUUUGGUCCAUGAAGUUUGAAGUAGAUGUCCAUUUGGUCUCUAAGAUUUCAUAAUGGGCACUUUUAGUCCCUAAAGUUUGAACAAUGGUUUUAAAUAGCCCCUAGAUUUGACCGUUAGUUGACAUAAUAGAUUACUGAUUGGACCAUUAAGUGUUAAGGUGGAUUUCCUUAGUUGUCAACUUUUAGUUGAAGUAUUGGACAUUUAUUAGGUUAAAACUUGAGAUAAAAAUUUAAACAAAAAAAGGAAAAAAAAAACCUUGUUUUAGAAAAUAAAGACUUUUAUCUGUCGUUUAGUUUCCUGAAUCUUCCUCUUCCUUCAACAAACCACUUGUUUUACCCAUGUUAGUUCACCCAUUAUAUCGCAAUAUAGUAGGAGAGGGAAAAAGGAGAGUGCACUUGCGAUGGGUAGUGUGGCGGCUAAGGCCCAUCCACAGUUAGUUAGGAGGGAAAGAGAGGUUUAAAUAGCGAAGGGGUUGGUGAGUGAGGGGAGGAGAAUUGUAUGAAUCAUUUGUCUUUUCCUUGAAAGGAAAGGCAGAGGGAAGGGUAGUUCAAUCUUUGUUCUUCUUAAGCUUUUAGUUCUUAUUCAGGUACCAAUUCCCUUGUAAUUCAGAAAAACUGGUUUCAUUGUAGAAGUUGCCCACAGAAGAAACUUCUAAUUAUGGAGUAAUCUUGGGCUCUGGCUCUGGCUCGGCGGUAGAAGGGAAAUGAGUGUGUGAAGGAGUGGAGUUAGUGAUCAGGAAAUGGAAGAUAAAGAACAGUUUUCUACCCCUAGAGUUAGGGAGAGUAGAUGUAAUUCUGGAAAUGCAGUGGCUACAUUCAGAGGUGGACUGGCAGAACUUGACCAUGAUGUUCGAUCAAAGAGACAAAGUGUGGUGCCGGGGGGAAUCCUAGCUUGAAUAGGGAUAGGAUGAGUUUGAAGAGCAUGAUGAAAUCGUGGUCUCCGACAAACCAAGGUUUUUUGAUUGAGUGUAGAGCUAUGGAACGGGGGAUAACGUUUGCUGAGUUGUAUGAAGUUGAUGAGGUACCUAUGAUGACUGAAUCAAUUCCUGCGCUAUUGUCUAAAUUCGAAGAUGUGUUUGAUUGGCCAAAGGAUCUUCCACCAAGGAGGAGUAUUGAGCAUCAGUUAACAUCAGCCAUACUGAUACGCUUAUCAGCAAAAGGAAGAGAUGGAGAAGCUGGUGGAUGAAAUGUUAGAAUCAAAAGUUAUACAACCAAGCACCAACCCGUAUUCAAGCCCCGUUUUGUUGGUGAAGAAGAAAGAUGACAAUUGGAGAUUUUGUUUGGAUUAUCGGGCACUAAAUAAUGUGACAAUUCCAGAAAAGUUUUCCAUACCGGUUGUCCGAGUAUUGUUUGAUGAAUUAAAUUGGGCCAAUAUGUUCAAGAUUGAUUUGAAGGCUGGCUAUCAUCAAAUAAGAAUGAAUCCAGGAGGUGUGGAGAAGACAGCUUUUAGGACUCUGUGAGACCCCCAAUCAUACAUACGUAUGUUAGGAAGGGUAAGAAGGGAGAUUCACCAACAAGUAAUGAGAGAGAAUGAGUGGGAAGUAAAAGAAUGUGCAGGUGGGUCCCACUGGGUAGGAAUUUGAGGGUGAGUAUAAAUAGAAUGAUUGAGAAAUAGGGAUAGGUAUCUAUUUUGUUAUCCUUAGGGAAAAGAGAGGCGGCAGCAGCCAAAAAAGGGGAGGGGGUAUCCUUCUUGUAAAGGAUGCUGGUAUGCACUUGUUAUUUACUGUUCUUGCUUUCAUUUCAUAUUGUAGCUGUAUCUUUUGGCUCUAUACAUAAAUAAAGAAUCACAUGGUGCUGUCUCUGUUUAGCCAUUGUUGGGUGUUUUAUUAGAAGGUGUGUUAGAAUCCUGACAUUUGGUAUCAGAGCCCAACAAAAACAACAAAAAAAAACUGGGUGUUGUUACGCGUCGCAUGGCACAAAGACAAAUGGAGGAACGAAUGGAAGGAACCGAGAAGGAGCUGUUGAGCAUGAAAGAAAUGUUACUGGAAAUGAAGAAAUCUAUGGAAAGACUGACGGAGGAACUAAGAGAGAAUCAUAGCUAUAAGAAAAGAGACGAAUCCGGAACAUCUGAUGGAUCCAGCAUGAAGUUGAAAGGAAAAGUAGAAGAAUCGGAAGUCUGUAAUGAGGUAAAUGGAAACAAUGUGGAUCGAAGUAAGUACAAAAAGUUAGAAAUGCCUAUGUUCUUAGGUGAAAAUCCCGAAUCCUGGGUAUAUAGAGCAGAACAUUUUUUUGAGAUCAACAACCUGCCAGAAAACGAGAAGAUCAAAGUGGCUGUGGUCAGCUUUGGGCAAGAUGAAGUGGACUGGUACCGGUGGACACAUAAUAGGAAGAAAGUAGAGUCAUGGGAAGACUUAAAAGGGAGGAUGUUUGAUUUCUUCAAGGACUCAGGGCAAACAAGUCUAGUGGCACGCUUGAUUACGAUUCAACAAGAUGGAUCCUACAGUGAGUAUGUGAAGAAAUUUGUCACAUAUUCAGCUCCUCUCCCUCACAUGGAGGAAAGUGUGUUACGUGAUGCUUUUCUGACCGGUCUGGAACCUAAUCUUCAAGCAGAAGUCGUUAGUCGUUACCCUCGAACAUUGGAAGAAUGUAUGAGGGAGGCUCAACUAGUCAAUGAUCGGAAUGUAGCAAUGAAAUUGACUAAGACCGAGGGCAGGACAGUGGAACCAAAGAAAAAAGAAGAGUAUGCAGGAAAAAUCCAAGAUAGAACAGACAAAGGCUACAUGAGGAAGACAGAUUUCCCCAUAAAACAAGUAACUAUACCUAUUAAGGGUAGUUAUCAAAAAAGUGAACCUCCUAUCAAACGACUUUCAGACGCAGAAUUCAGGUCCAGACUGGAUAAGGGCCUAUGUUUCAAAUGCAAUGAGAAGUAUACGCCAGGGCACAGAUGUAGAGUGAAGGAAAAAAGGGAGCUGAUGUUAUUUAUCAUGAAUGAAGAGGAGAGCAAGGAAGAGGAAGGCAAGAUUGAAGAGGAACCAGGGGAAACAGUGGAACUAAACCAUCUGGAUUUUGCAGAAGGAGAGGAAAUAGAAUUGAAGACAAUCCAUGGGAUGGCAUCGAAGGGAACGAUGAAGCUGAAGGGAAAUAUAAAGGGCAAAGGAGUGAUAGUGCUGAUUGAUAGUGGAGCAACCCAUAAUUUUAUACAUAACCGGACAAUAAAGGAAAAGAACUUAUACUUGGAAAAAGGUAAUCCGUUUGCAGUUACAAUUGGAGAUGGCACCAAGUGUACAGGCAAGGGUGUUUGCAAGAGAGUGGAAUUGGAGCUACAAGGGGCUGUGGUGGUGGCUGAUUUUUUAGCUAUUGAGUUGGGAAAUGUGGAUGUAAUAUUGGGUAUGCAGUGGCUGGAUACAACAGGCACCAUGAAGAUACAUUGGCCAUCUCUAACAAUGUCCUUUUGGUCAGGCAAACAGAAAAUUAUUUUGAAAGGAGACCCAUCCCUCAUCCAAGCAGAAUGUUCCCUCAAAACCAUUGAGAAAACGUGGGAAAAUGAAGAUCAGGGUUUUCUGUUGGAAUUCCAAAAGUAUGAAAUAGACACGGAGGUGGAAGUGGAGCAGGCAAUGAAAGGGGACAAAGAAGAGAUUCCAAUGAUUAAAAAUCUGUUACAACAGUAUGCAGACAUCUUUGAGGAUCCAAAAAAACUGCCCCCUAAGAGAGAAAUAGAUCACCGUAUAUUGGUUUUACCAAACCAGAGGCCCAUCAAUGUCAGACCAUAUAAAUAUGGUUAUGUACAGAAGGAGGAAAUUGAGAAAUUGGUGGUGGAAGUGCUGCAAGCAGGUGUGAUACGUCCCAGUCAUAGCCCUUACUCCAACCCUGUUUUAUUGGUCAAAAAGAAAGAUGGAGGGUGGCGCUUUUGUGUAGAUUACCGGAAGCUCAACCAAGUGACCAUAUCUGACAAAUUUCCUAUCCCAAUGAUAGAAGAACUGCUGGAUGAAUUACAUGGGGCCACGGUUUUCUCGAAAUUAGAUAUGAAGUCCGGUUACCAUCAAAUAAGGAUGCAGGAGGAAGAUGUUGAGAAGACCGCGUUCAGAACACAUGAGGGUCACUAUGAAUUUCUGGUCAUGCCCUUCGGUCUUACAAACGCACCAGCCACCUUCCAGUCCUUGAUGAAUCAGGUAUUCAAACCUUUUUUAAGAAGGUGUGUAUUGGUGUUCUUCGAUGAUAUACUUGUAUAUAGCAAGGAUAUAUCAGAACAUGAGAAACACCUAGGGAUGGUAUUUGCAGUGUUGAGGGAUAACCAUCUAUUUGCAAAUAAGAAGAAGUGUGUCAUAGCUCACUCCAAAAUCCAAUAUUUGGGGCAUAUAAUCUCAAGUAAAGGAGUACAGGCUGAUAUGGAGAAAAUCAAAGACAUGGUGAAAUGGCCUCAGCCAAAGGAUGUCACGGGUUUGAGAGGAUUUCUGGGAUUAUCGGGCUAUAUCGUAGGUUUGUGAAAGGAUACGGAGAAAUUGCAGCUCCCUUGACCAGAUUGUUGCAAAAGAAUUCUUUUGUGUGGGAUGAACAAGCAACCGUGGCUUUUGAAAAAUUAAAGAUUGCCAUGACUACUAUCCCGGUGCUAGCACUGCCGAAUUGGGAUCUACCUUUUUUAAUCGAAACAGAUGCUUCAGGGACAGGAUUGGGAGCUGUACUAUCGCAGAAUGGUCACCCCAUAGCCUUCUUCAGCCAGAAAUUGUCGAUACGAGCUCAGGCAAAGUCCAUUUACGAAAGAGAACUGAUGGCUGUAGUAUUAUCAGUACAGAAAUGGCGUCAUUAUCUAUUAGGGAGGAAGUUUACAAUUAUUUCAGAUCAAAAGGCAUUGAAAUUUCUCUUAGAACAGAGGGAAGUACAACCCCAAUUUCAGAAAUGGCUGACCAAACUUCUGGGAAAAGAGAGGCGGCAGCAGCCAAAAAAGGGGAGGGGGUAUCCUUCUUGUAAAGGAUGCUGGUAUGCACUUGUUAUUUACUGUUCUUGCUUUCAUUUCAUAUUGUAGCUGUAUCUUUUGGCUAUAUAUAUAAAUAAAGAAUCACAGGGUGCUGUCUCUGUUUAGCCAUUGUUGGGUGUUUUAUUAGAAGGUGUGUUAGAAUCCUGACAGACUCAUGAAGACCAUUAUGAGUUUCUAGUAAUGCUGUUUGGUUUGACCAAUGCUUCAUACACUUUCCAGUCUUUGAUGAACACAAUCCUUAAGCCCUAUAUGAGAAGAUUUGUUUUGGUAUUUUUUGAUGACAUACUGAUUUAUAGUCAGAACUUAGAAGACCAUUUGCAACAUCUGGAGCUGGUGUUAGAGAUCUGAUGUAAUUCAAAUAGCUUAAACCUACUGCCUUACUAGUUACUCUUAUAGUUUACUGUUAUAAUUGUAACUACUUCUUUAGUUACAAAAUAACUAACUUGUAUUACAUUUUCCUCGAUAAAUAAACAUCUCCUAUCACAUUGAGAGAUAAGAUUUCAUUCAAACAAAAAGAUUAGGCUUUGGUUACACACCAAUUGGUAUUAGAGCACCAUAAAGCUCUUAGAUCCAUAGCUGUCCGACGAGUAAAUCCGACAGCAGCGGAGCAUCCUGCUUAGAACCAAGAGGCUGGAUAUAACUCUCAUCCUCUCUCCAAGAACAACCUCAUGACGCUUGCUGUCCUUGGAGGCUUCGGUGGAGGGAAUACAAGCAACACUUCAAGAAGUCUUACAAUGGCUAGAAAGUUUAGCUCCUCCUCAAACAGUAUAUGAAGAACAUCAAGAAUUUGUUCAAGGCAUUCGAGGAGCUGGACUUCAAAGAGUGGGGCGAAAUCAUCAAGAAAGAAGGUUUGAAGUGCAAGAAAGAAGAUGACCAAUUCAAGAUUAUCAAGAACUCCCUCCAAGAAUACCAACAAAUUCAUCAAGAAAGGAAGUUUGAAGCUCAAGAACGUAGGAGACCUAAUCAAGAGUAUCAAGAAGUUUACCCAAACUCUUUCAAGAUUUUGCAAGAAUGGACUACUAUCGAUCAAAUAAGAUGUUUAAGGAAAAAACCAGCAAUUGGUAGACAAGAAAAUCAAUUUUACUUCCAUAAACAAUGUUGGAGUUCUAAUUCAAGUGAUUUGGAAGAAGGAUUUCAACAUUCAAAUUUAGGCCAUGCUCGAUUUUCUCAAAGAACCUAUCAUUAUUCAAAUUGAAAAUUUGAUUCAAUCUGAUGAUAUUCCUAAGGCAGUUUGGGACGAAAUAAGAAGGCAACAAUAUCAAAAAAUGGCCCAACGAUCCAAUCAAACCCAUUUUCCAAGAAAUCAACGUUCAUGGGGCAAAAUGACUCAACAUGUAGAUCAACUAUCAAUUCAUUUGCAAGAGUACAAGACCGAAUUGAUUUCAUAUACAAAAGAAAAAACAAAGGAAUCACGACUGGAAAAUUUUCAUAUAGAAAAUCAUGAAGAUAAAAUUAAAGAACGAGAUAAAAUGUUGAUUUGGAAAUGGACACAAGUGAACAAAAAUCCAAUGAAGAAGAUGAAAAAGAAGAAAAACAUCGAGCAAAAAUCGAACAAGAACAAUGACACAUUGGUUGCAGUGGAAAUGAAUCUUCAAACCAUCGAAGAACUUUAAGCGAAUGACAAAGAAAAUGUGAUUCUUGAAUAUUUUUUUUCAAAAGCUAAUUCUUUUCAAAUUGAUUCUUUGAAUAUGGUUUUAAGUGAGAUUGAAGGAGACAUCUUUUUUGGGUUUACAACUAAUGGAGAAAUUCAUCUUUUAGUGGCCAUAUUUGAUUUUUUGUCUCGAUUUUAUCUCUUCGAUCAUAAUAUUUUUGUUCAAUACGUAGGAGGUUGGUUUGGUCAUACUCUGUUGCUUCAGAUAGAUUCCAACUUACAUGACAGCCCCAACUCAAGGACAUGUUUGAUGCUCAGGGGAUGGAAUGAUGCAAUUCAAAUAGCUUAAACCUAUUGGCUUACUAGUUUACUAUUAUAGUUUGCUAUUAUAAUUGUUACAACUACUUAGUUAGUUACUAAAUAACUAACUUGUAUUACAUUUCCUCCAUAAAUAAACAUCUCCUCUCACAUUGAUGAAAUAAGAUUUGAUUCAAACAAAAAGAUUAGGCUUUGGUUACACACCAAGAUCCCGAGGGAAAAUGAAUUAUAUGCAAACAUGAAGAAAUGCAACUUUGCCCGGGCAAGAGUAUAAUAUUUGGGGCAUAUUGUUCGAGAAAAGGAGUGAAAGUUGACCCGAAAAAAACUAGAACAAUAAAGGAAUGGCCAAUACCGACAAAUGUGCGGGAAGUGCGGGGAUUUUUUGGUCUAAUUGGUUAUUAUCGGUGAUAUGUUCAAGAUUAUGGUAACGUGGCUACCCCUUCGACUCAAUUGUUGAAGGCGGGAGCUUACGAGUGGACGAAAGAGACUCAAGAAGCUUUUGAGAAAUUAAAGAAUGCUAUGAUGACAUUGCCAGUGCUAGCAUUACCUAAUUUCAAUUUGCCCUUCGAGAUUGAAACUAAUGCAUCUGGCAAUGGGAUUGGAGUAGUGUUGAUCCAAGUAACGAGGCCAAUUGCUUAUUUUAGUCACACUUUGUUCGUGAGGGAUCGGCUAAACCGAUUUAUGAAUGGGAGUUAAUGGCAGUGGAGUUAGUUGUGCAAAGGUGGAGACCGAAAUGUUAUGCAGGAAAUUUGUGGUAAAAACUUAUCAACGAUCUCUGAAUUUUUGUUGGAACGAGUUAUUCAACCUCAACAUCAAAAAUGGAUCGCUAAGUUGUUAAGGUUAUACGUCUGAGGUAAUCUAUAAACCGGGGUUGGAGAAUAAGGUUGCUGAUGCACUCUCUAGAAUGACUUCAAUGCAUUUAAAUCAAUUAACGGCUCCUGCUUUGCUGGAAUUGAUCAUAAUUAAAGAAGAGCUGGAGAAGGGUCCAUGACUGAGUGAAAUAAUAGAAGAAUUGAAGAAGAAUGAGGAGUGUGUGGCUGACUUUUCUUUACAGCAGGGUGUGUUGAAGUAGAAAGGCAGAGUGGUGAUUACUCGGCGUUAUUACCCACUAUAUUACAUACUUAUCACGAUUCUGUGUUUGGUGGACAUUCAGGAUUUUUUAGGACUUAUAAACGGCUGAAGGGAGAGCUGUAUUGGGAAGGUAUGAAGGGUGAUGUGAAGAAAUAUUGUGAGAAAUGUGUCGUAUGUCAGCAUCCUAAGUCCUUGGCGUUGUCUCCAGCAGGCUUAUUGAUGCCUUUAGAGAUUCCGGAUGCUGUAUUGAGCCACAUCUUUAUGGAUUUCAUUGAUGGGUUACCAAAGGCGGCUGGUUUCAAUGUGAUAUUAGUAGCGGUGGACAGAUUGAGUAAGUAGGCACAUUUCUUUACCUUGAAACACCCUUAUACAGCAAAAUAAGUAGCUGAGGUUUUUGUCAAGGAAGUGGUGAGAUUACAUGAAUUUCCAAGGUCCAUAGUUUCGGACCAUGAUAAGGUGUUUCUCAUUAACUUUUUGAUGUAAUUCAAAGUUGAGAUUAAUUUCUCAAAUGAAUUUGUCAGGAUUCUAACCCACUUUUUAAAUAAACACUCAACAAUGGCUAAACAGAGACAGCCCCUGUGAUUCUUUAUUUAUGUAUAUAGUCAAAAGAUACAGCUACAAUAUGAAAUGAAAGCAAGAACAGUAAAUAAUAAGAACAUACCAGCAUCCUUUACAAGAAGGAUACCCCCUCCCCUUUACGGCUGCUGCCGCCUCUCUUUUCUCUAAGGUUAACAAAAAAGAUACCUAUCCCUAUUGAAAUCAUUCUAUUUAUACUCACCCUCAAAUUCCUACCCAGUGGGACCCACCUGCACAUUCUCUUAUUUCCCACUCAUUCUCUCUCAUUACAUGUUGGUGAAUUUCCCUUCUUACCCUUCCUAACAUACGUAUGUAUGAUUGGGGUCUCACAACACCCCUCGGUUCCAAAUUCACCUUGUCCUCAAGGUGGAAUGUGGGAAACUGUUGAUUCAUUUGAUAGACAGCUUCCCAUGUGGCUUCAGUUUCUGGUAAAUUCUUCCACUUGACUAGCCAUUCGUUAGCUCCCAAUUCUUUGUUCCAGCGAAUUCCCAAUACCUGUUCUGGCCAUAGUUGUAAUUCGAAAUCUGUUGUCAACAUAGGUUGCUGUUGCUGCACAACCUUCUGCUUACCUAACUUGAGCUUCAACUGUGAGAUGUGGAACACAUCAUGAAUACUCGCUUCUGGUGGAAGUUUCAAUCUAUAGGCCACCUCUCCUAUCUCUUCAAUGAUUGUGUAAGGCCCGUAGAAUUUUGGUGCCAGCUUUUCACACCUUUUCCGAGCUAAGGAUCUCUGCCUAUAAGGUCUGAGCUUUAGGUAUACUUCAUCACCCACCUUGAACUUCAAUUCCCUUCUUUUGGUGUCUGCCCAUUUCUUCAUGCGGUUUUGGGCUAAGUGAAGAUUCUCCUUCAAGGCGUUCAAUGCCAGAUCUCUCUCUUUGAGCAUUAUUUCUACCUCAUCAUUCUGAGUUUUUCGGGUUCCGUAGGAUAGAAUUGGGGGUGGUUGCCUUCCAUAUACAAUCUUGAAAGGGUUGGAACGUAUGGAUGAAUGGAAAGUAGUGUUAUACCACAGUUCAGCCCAUGGAAUGAACUUAUGCCACCUUUGAGGUUGCUCAUUGCAAAAGCAUCUCAAGUAUGUCUCCAGACAUUGGUUUACCCUUUCCGUUUGUCCAUCUGUUUGUGGGUGGAACGCCGUGCUUCUUUUCAGUUUAGUUCCCAUAGUUGUAAAUAACUCAUUCCAAAAAUGACUAAUGAAAACUUUAUCCCUGUCGGAUACUAUGGAUUUUGGAACCCCAUGCUUGCUGAUGAUCUUUUCAAUGAAUGUCGUCGCCACUUGUUUAGCUGUGAAAGGGUGCUUCAUAGUGAUGAAAUAAGCAUACUUGCUCAAUCUGUCUACCACCACCAUUAUCACAUUCAUUCCCCCUGCCUUCGGUAACCCUUCUAUGAAAUCCAUUGACCAUUCUUCUAGUAUGGCUUCCGGAGCAGGAAGUGGAUGUAAUACUCCUGCUGGUUUCGUGGCCUCAUAUUUGUUCCUUUGACAAAUCUCACACUGUUCCACAUAUUUCUUUAUAUCAGCCUUCAUUCCCUCCCAGUACAGCUCUCCGCUCAUCCUUUUAUAUGUCCUCAAGAAUCCCGAGUGUCCUCCUAAGAUGGAGUCAUGGAAUGUAUGCAGCAAUGUGGGAUCACUGACGACUUCUUUGAUAAUACCACUCUCUUCUUGUAGAACAGUUUCCCAUUCUCCCAGCUAAAUUUGCUAAUUCCCUCUGGAUUCUGUUUCAAUUCUUUAAUGGUUUUCUGUAAUUCCUCAUCUUGGUUGACUUCCUUGUCUAUCACUUCCAUGUCUACAAUGCCAGUUGUCGUCAAGGAGUUUACUUCCAGCGGAUAUUCCAUCCUAGAAAGGGCAUCUGCUGCUUUGUUUUGUAAUCCAGGUUGGUAUAAUAUUUCAAAAUCGUAUCCCAGCAGUUUGGUCAGCCAUUUCUGAAAUUGGGGUUGUACUUCCCUCUGUUCUAAGGAGAAAUUUCAAUGCCUUUUGAUCUGAGAUAAUUGUAAACUUCCUUCCUAAUAGAUAAUGACGCCAUUUCUGCACUGAUAAUACUACAGCCAUCAGUUCUCUUUCGUAAAUGGACUUGGCCUGAGCUCGGAUCGACAAUUUCUGGCUGAAGAAGGCUAUGGGGUGACCAUUCUGUGAAAGUACAGCUCCCAAUCCUGUCCCUGAAGCAUCUGUUUCGAUUAAAAAAGGUAGAUCCCAAUUCGGCAGUGCUAGCACCGGGAUAGUAGUCAUGGCCAUCUUUAAUUUUUCAAAAGCUACGGUUGCUUGUUCAUCCCACGCAAAAGAAUUCUUUUGCAACAAUCUGGUCAAAGGGGCUGCAAUUUCUCCGUAUCCUUUCACAAACCUACGAUAAUAGCCCGAUAAUCCCAGAAAUCCUCUCAGACCCGUGACAUCUUUCGGCUGAGGCCAUUUCACCAUGUCUUUGAUCUUCUCCUCAUCAGCCUGUACUCCUUUACUCGAAAUUAUAUGCCCCAAAUAUUGGAUUUUGGAGUGAGCUAUGACACACUUCUUCUUAUUUGCAAAUAGAUGGUUAUCCCUCAACACUGCAAAUACCAUCCCUAGAUGUUUCUCAUGUUCUGAUAUAUCCUUGCUAUAUACAAGUAUAUCAUCGAAGAAUACCAAUACACACCUUCUUAAAAAAGGUUUGAAUACCUGAUUCAUCAAGGACUGGAAGGUGGCUGGUGCGUUUGUAAGACCGAAGGGCAUUACCAGAAAUUCAUAGUGACCCUCAUGUGUUCUGAACGCGGUCUUCUCAACAUCUUCCUUCUGCAUCCUUAUUUGAUGGUAACCGGACUUCAGAUCUAGUUUUGAGAAAACCGUGGCUCCAUGUAAUUCAUCCAACAGUUCUUCUAUCACUGGGAUAGGAAAUUUGUCAGAUAUGGUCACUUGGUUGAGCUUCCGAUAAUCUACACAAAAGCGCCACCCUCCAUCUUUCUUUUUGACCAAUAAAACAGGGCUGGAGUAAGGGCUAUGACUGGGACGUAUCACACCUGCUUGCAGCAUUUCCACCACCAAUUUCUCAAUUUCCUCCUUCUGUACAUAACCAUAUUUAUAUGGUCUGACAUUGAUGGGCCUCUGGUUCGGUAAAACCAAUAUACGGUGAUCUAUUUCUCUCUUAGGGGGCAGCUUUUUUGGAUCCUCAAAGAUGUCUGCAUACUGUUGUAACAGAUUUUUAAUCAUUGGAAUCUCUUCCUCGUCCCCUUUCAUUGCCUGCUUCACUUCCACAUCCGUGUCUACUUCAUACUUUUGGAAUUCCAACAGAAAACCCUGAUCUUCAUUUUCCCACGUUUUCUCAAUGGUUUUCAGGGAACAUUCUGCUUGGAUGAGGGAUGGAUCUCCUUUCAAAAUAAUUUUCUGUUUGCCUAACCAAAAGGACAUUGUUAGAGAUGGCCAAUGUAUCUUCAUGGUGCCUGUUGUAUCCAGCCACUGCAUACCCAAUAUUACAUCCACAUUUCCCAACUCAAUA